CAAUAGUUGUGAUUGGAGGAAUUUUGCUAGGAAAAGGUAAGGAAAGUGAAUCGUGGAAAAAAGUUGCUGAAAGUGUGGAGGCAUUUAUUAACAUGGACGAGCAGAAAAAAAUGGACCAUAGUAUACAAAUGAGUUUUGAUCAUUUACCUUAUCACUUGAAACCAUGUUUUCUCUACUUUGGGAUAUAUCCUGAAGACUUCCAAAUUCCAGUAUGGAAACUGCUUCGCCUUUGGAUCGCUGAAGGAUUCAUACAGCAAAGUGAAGGAAUGAAUAUGAGUUUGGAGGAUAUUGCUGAAGAGUACUUGGAAGAUUUCAUCAGCAGGAAUUUAGUCAUGGUUGGGCAAAGGAGGUCAAAUGGCAAAGUUAAAACGUGCCAUAUUCAUGACAUGCUACACUUGUUUUGCAAGACACGAGCUGCACAAGAAAGUUUUUUCGUCGAAAUUACGCAUCUUAAUCAAGCUACUUAUUCAUCUCCCAACAUUGACUCUGAAAAGUGUCGUCGCCUUUCCAUCAAUUCCAGAAUUUCGAACUAUCUCUUUUCAAAACCAAGUGGUCCACGUGUUCCACGUGUUCGGUCUUUUUUGUGUUUCUCCCAUGAAGAAAUAACCUUGCAAAAUGAGCAAAAUUCUUCAAUCCCUCAUGCAUUUCAAUUGCUCAGGGUGUUAGAUGGUAAACCCAUCCAUUUCACUCGUUUUCCUCCUGACCUAACUCUACUUGUACAUUUGAGGUAUCUUGUUCUCUCCUGCACCAUCAAAAUACUUCCUGCAUCCCUUUCCAGCCUUUGGAACAUACAAACUCUUGUAGUUGAGACAUCAUCACGCACCCUUGAAAUCAAAGCAGAUGUAUGGAAGAUGAUUCAAAUGAGGCAUCUAAAAACAAACGUAUCCACAACAUUGAAAGGCCCUCUCGCUAAAUCAAGAAAAAGUAAAGAAGAUUCUUUGAACUUCAAAACACUUUCUACAAUAUCACCUGAAAGUUGUACAGAAGAUGUCUUUUCUGCAGCUCCAAACCUAAGCAAAUUGGGUAUUCGGGGCAAAAUAGCUAAACUAUUGGAUACCAAGGGUACUGGAUCUAGUUUGUUUGACAGUCUGGGAAAAUUGGAUUACCUUGAAAAUUUGAAGCUAUGGAAUGAUGUAUUUCCUCAACAACCUUCUGAAGGAAAAAUAAGGAGCCUUCCACAAAGCUACCAAUUCCCAUCCAAGCUUAAGAAGCUAACAAUAGUAGAUACCAUGCUUGAUUGGAAGCAUAUGUCUACUUUGGGACUGUUGGAAGGCCUUGAGAUCCUGAAGUUGAAAGACAAUGCAUUCAUAGGGGAACGUUGGAAGUCCCAGGAUGGAGGUUUCCGUUCUCUGAUAGUCUUGCAUAUUGGAAGGACAGAUUUAGUUAAUUGGAUGGCUUCUGCUCUUCAUUUCCCACGACUCAAGUGCCUUCGUCUUAAUCACUGCAGUAAGCUUGUUGAAGUCCCAUUUGAACUGGCUAAUGUUCCAAGCUUCCAAAUAUUGGACUUGAACUGUACCACCAGAGCAGCAGCUGAUUCUGCAAAGAAAAUUUCUGAGCAUAAAAAGAAGCAUGGUGGUAAUGGAUUUAAGCUUUCAAUUUACCCUCCAGAUCAUGAUCAAUGAUCUCCAUUUGCUCGAAGCUCAUAAAUGCUACUUCACAGGUAAUAUAUUUUAAACUUUGUUCUUUUCAAUUGAUAUAUCUAUUCCUACUUAAAACUUAAGCACCAAGAAAAGAUUGUUUUUUCCCCUGUGUCCUUUCUAUUUCUUAACUCUGUGUGGAUAUAUGCUCUAUCUGCUAAUCCAUGAUUUGAAUCAGAAAAAUCUGAAAGAUAUGAAGUGGAAGUCCAAGUAAACAUGUUUGCUACUAUCUUACAUAUUACUAACGAAUUAUGAAAAUUAUUUCUAGCGUAAUGGUGUAAAAAUUCAAUGAUAUGAUCAACUCAUAUUUUUGCAGGCUGAUAAUCAGAUGAACAGUGAUGUCAUGAGUGUUGAAUAAAGGAAGUUUAGAUGCAUGGAGCCAAUGUUUCUCUUCCCUGUGUUUUUCCAUUACGUUCAAUAAAAAAUUGCACUUUAUUGUAUGUUGAACUUCAAAAUAUUGGUAGUUUCUUUUUACUCAGUGUGUUGUAUUGCUGUAAUCAUUUUACCUUGCUUUAGCUUUUGACUAUGGAAUUACUGCUGCUUUCAUUUUACCUACUUAUAAUUUUUUUUCUUGACAAAGUGGCAAAUAGAAAACUGCAUGGUCUUGCGCUCUUACUUUAUUGCACCUAAUGUAAUUUGCCUUAGCUUGAUGAGUAUGGUCAUUGUACUUUGAGCAGGUUUUGCUAAGUAAAUUAAACUUACUUUUAUGUAAUAUUUCAUUCACGUACAUAUAUAUUUGGAACCUAAUAGGAGAGGCUUAUUCUCUUAGAGCGACCCGUUGUAAUUUUUUCAGGAUUUCGAAGAUCGGAAGCCAAUGGAAGGAGAGACUUGUAAGUUUUGGGUAGAAUUAUGAGUGAGUUAUAGAAAUUUCAACCAAAAAUUGAGAUCUAUUGUAGUUUGCUAUAGUUGCAAUAUAACUCCAAAUCCUUCAUUGUCUUUAAAUUGUGGUUGGGUUCUUCCAUCGUAUCCAUAAUUGUGUUAAAUACAUUGAUAAAUAUAUUCCUUCUAAUGUGCAUUACAUCUAAAUUAAAUGCCACAAAGCAUAUCCAAGAAUGUGUUUAAUCAAUUUAUUUUUUCUUACAAGCUUUAUCGGUUAUAAUUUUGGGAAGUUUCUUAUAGUGGUAACUUGACGUGUAAUAAAUGAUGCUACCAAUGGCCUGAUUUUGUAAACAGGGCAGGUUAGUUUCUGUUUAACAGAACAUUUGAAGACUUGUUUUAUGCAAACAUUAAUUAUUGUAAACAAGAUUAGAGUUGUCAUCCUUACUUUGGCUUAACAUUUUAAACAGGUAAAGAUUUGGUAUUUGAUUAACCUUUGGAAAAGGAACGUAAUGUACAGGCCCCGUUUUCAUUGAGAAGUAUGGUGCGUCUAUUAUGAAACACGACAUCAAGCCGGUCCCCAAUAUAAAAGCACAAAAAAAUAAAAAAAAAUAAAAAUAAAAAAAAAAAGAAAAAGGAAAAGGAAAAAAAUGAUUCAUUCUACAGGCUUGCAUAUAUGCAAUCACAAUAAGCUUAACCCUUUAUUUGUCAUCAUUUAUUUUAAAUUAUUUUUCAUUAUUUUUUCUACAACACUCAUUAUUAAUCACACAUUCUUCAUUAAAUAAUAUUACACGCAGAUCAAGAAUUUUUCUUUCUUUUUUAACCACACAUUCUUCAUCAAUUACUAAUUCAUAAUACAUUUUUUCAAAUUAUCAGGGCUCAAGCAGGAACAUAAAAGGCGAUCAUUUUCCAAAAACAUAAUUCAAACAUAUCAUUUCUUAGUACAAAAAGAUGAUCAAAACAGUUCCUUAUAAGUUGCGAUCAAAAGAGGGGGCUAGAUUAGAACCAUAACGCGUUAGGAGCGAUUAAAACUUACCUUGAAAACCCAUUUUUUAGUACAAAGUUUCGAAAAACUUCAGCCUUGUUUCUUCAAGACUUUAACAUCCUGUCCCACGCUAGGGACUCCAACCCGCAACUCUCGCAGGCAAACUGAUAAUGUAUUUUAAGUGAGUGCGCUAAAUACUCCUUGUUAUAAAUAGAAACUAAAUCUUCUUAUAAAGUUGGGUAACAAUAAUAAAAUACUUAUGCAAUCUUGUUUCCAUAAAUCAUAUUCUGAAGCUGCUCUCGGAGCAUAGCCCAAUGGUACAAAAGACAGGAGUGAGGUUAUCUCAUGUCUUGCUGCAGCCGCAAUGUAGGGAUUCGAUUCCUACGAUAUAGAAUUGGAUUCCUUGUAGGCGCAAUGUACAAGCAACUCUUGUUCCCUGGCCUAUUGGAGCACAUCCCGCGAUUUACCUCCCUCACAAAGCUCUAGGGGUUGGACGAUGGAGAUCCUUAAGGUUGGGGUUUAACCUUUUUUUUUCAUAUUCUGAAGCAGUAAGUGACUAUCUAGUUUGUAUAGAAUAUUUUGGAAUUCUUCAAGACUCAGAGCCUUCUAUAGAAUUUGUGAACUGCUCAUCAGGUUUUAAACUUCCGGCAUUCAUUGCCUCCAUAAUUAGUUUGUAGUUGUGCUUUGCAAAUUGUUUAGCAAAUCAACAUUUUACAUUAUUUGGUGAACUUGGUGUUAGGGAAUAUGGUAUGACACAUCUCUGAUUAUGACUUGUUUCUUUAGUUGUGGCAUUCAUUUUUAAUAUCGUGUGUUAUUAUACUAUUUCAUUUUAUUACCUAUAUUAAAUAAUGUCCGUAAUGGAGUAAUUUCUUGGCUUAGUCUAUCUUAUAUAAAUAGUUUUUACUAUUAUUCAUAUGCAGAUAAUGCAAUUCAUAGAUACAUAUUUUAUUCACCUAAUAAUGGUAAUGACAAAAACCAUUUAUUUCUUGUCUCUUACUAGCUCUUCCGCUCUCAAUGUUUGGUAGGUUUUCAACUCUACUUCACAGCUCAUCACAGGCAACCACAUAUACUUCUCAUAUUGGUCUAAAAUUGGUGGUGACAAUAAGAUAAAAGAUGUAUUUUAGACAUUUUUUAGGGUGGAUCAGUCAGUUCGACCCAUUUGGUAUGAACUCAUGACAUUCAUAUCCCAUCUAGGCAAUAUGUCAUAUGCCGGAAAGGCAUUAAUUGUCUACAUCAACACAACUUUCAUUUGAAAAUUCUUCUUUAUGUAUAUGUCGUAAGUUUCUUCUUUGUAUAUAUGUAGUAAGUUUAAACUCCUUUACCCAUAAUAGUUUUACUUCAUCCAUUAGGCGAUUCACAUAAAGAUUUAACUGGGACUCUUCAAUGGCGAGAAAAACAUACUCAAAAAUUGCAGUCAUAUUACAUGCACAUACAAAGUGGGAGAUCACAUCCCACUGCAUUCGUCACAAUUUUUUGAUGGAUAUAGUUUCUUGUAACUUGUGGGACUAAGGAUCCACCAGAGUCUGACCAUGGGUAAAGAAUGGUACCCCGUGUACAUUUUUCUCAUAUUGUUGGUACCUUGGGUUGAAUGACAUGUUUACUAUCAAAAAUUUCAGACAAUGGCACAAGAGGGCUUUCUUUAGAUGUCUCCAUUUCUUAUUGACGAUUAGUGGGAUUGUCACUCUUUUUACUUUUCAGCCAAUAGAGAUUUAGGUGUUGCUCUCAACCCUAAUUGUGUGCUUGCUCGUACGGAUUGUACUGCAGGUAUGUAUCGUCUGAACAUACUGGAUUGACAAAAUUUUAUGUCUUUGUGUUGAGAACAAAUUCCAUUCUCCCAAAGGCAUGUCAUCAUCAUCACGGCAUAUUGAUCCUCUUGAAGAGACAUCCUUUGUUUAUCCUGUAUUUGGUAGGCCAUUAAUGUAAAUAUCAAUCUCAAUAGCAAAGCAUCUGCAUCAACUUCAUACCUUGUACUUGAAAAUUAGGUAGUCCAUGUAUUACUGCUAAGUGCAGGUCAUCUUCAUCAAGUUCAACAAGUUUAUGAUAUCCUUUCAUUAUAAAGCGUGAUAAGAUGGAGAAAUCCUCCAUGCAUGUCAUCUUCAUCAAUUUCGGAAUCUUUCAUCUCAUAUUGUUGUUGUGCUCUUGCUUCUUUUCGUUUCCUAAAACCAUAGAAACAAGUAAAUCAAUUGGAAAAAAAAAAUAUUCAAAAUUUAAAUCAAAGUCAGAAUUAAAAACAAAAACUAAAGUAGAUAAAUUGGUCCCCAAUAAAGACACUAAAAACUUAAUUGUAUGAUCCCCCAAGUGUACGGAUCGUGACAAGUAACAAUAAUGGUAGGGGAGGAGGCAGUGGGGAUGGAGAUGGGCUAUAGCCUAGCCCUACCCCCACCCCAUAUGGAAAAUUAAGAAUAAAUUGUGUAAUUUCGAUCUAAAUAUUUGUGUUAGUCCAACUCUAAUUUGAAUUCCAAUUUGAACCUAGCUCUACAAUUAUUAAAUACUAUUUUUCACAUUAUUUUAUUUUUGAAUUAGGCAUUUUAUUUAAUACAUGUUUGACUAAAUUUACUUAUAAUAAUUAAGUAAAUUUUAUAACAGAUAAUUUGUAUUGAUCGGAUCUAAAAAUUAAUUAUUUUAAUAAUUAGAGCCACUACAUCCUUGUACGGUGGAGAUUAAAAUUUGAAUUUGAAUUUAAAAUAAAAUUCAGCAACUAAUUUUAACCGCAUAUUUUAUGGAACCCACAAAUUUUUAACCACACUUUUCAAUUUAUUAAAAAUUUGAUUUUAAAAUUCAAAUUUUAAUUUUAACCGCAUAUUUUAUUGAACCACUACUUUUUAACCACACUUUUCAAUUUAUUAAAAAUUUAAUUUUAAUCCCCAUCAAACACAGGGGCUACAUGUUUUGCUAAGUUUUAAAAUAAUUAAUUUUUUUCUAUGUUCAUAUAUUACUUAUUCAUACUUAGAAGAAAAAAUACUUAUUUUAACAAUGAAAUAGAUAUUAUGAUCAAAAUAAAUAUCUUGAUAUAAAUUUGAUCUUGUUAGUAAAAAGAAUAUUUGUUAAAAUUUAUUUAUUUAUAAAUUAAUCUAUAUAUAAGUAUAUUCUUAAAAAUAAGCUGAACGUGGACAUGAAUUAAAUAUUUAAAUCUAAUUUCUUAGGACUCUCUUAGCUGAUUCUUCUCACUUUGAAUAUGAUUCUUUACUCACUAUGAAAUGAAAUGAAAUAGAAGAUUCUAUCCACACCAAAAUAGUAUUUUGAGAUAAUAACAUAUAUUGAUAUAUUAUUGACUGCGUGUUUAGACCAAAACUUUCAACGAUUUGAAAAAGGUUGAUCAUCAAAGUUAUUUAGAGUUGUGUUCAUUAAAAUAUUUUCUUAGCUUUUCAUUAGUGGAUAUGUAUUAUUUGCUUAUUUCGAUCAUGAUUAAGUCAAUUUAUAUUUUUUUAAUGUGAGCGUCAUUUUCUAUUUGGUAAGAAAAGAUAAAAAAGAUCUAACGGGACAUCUUAGAGUGAGAUAUCUCGAUUUCUUAUAUUUCAUUAAGUGUCGUGUACCCUUUGUCGUAAAUGUCAUAAGUUUAGCUUCUUGGGUUCAUUCAAAAUUUUUUAAAUUUCAGUCAAUUCUAACAUCAUUUUCUAACUCCGCCCCUGAAUAAUGGAUGACGAUAUCUUACCCACAAAGACUAAGUAUCCACUAUCAAUUUCUAUUUUAAUCCGGUCUUAGCCUAAAACAAUGUAAUUUUAUAAUUAAGUUAUCGUAAACUAUUCAAAAUUAAUCUAAUUUUUAUGAGGCUUUUAGAUUAAGUGGUUGAAAAUUUCGAUUUCACUUAGACCAUUUAACAUUCAUUCAAUCCAACAUCAUUCACAUGCCCAAGUUUUAUUUCAUCUCUAUGUAAAUUCACACAUAUAGAAGAAUUCAAUUGUUUGUGCCUGAUCACUUCAGGAGCAAGUUUGAUAAGAAACCAAUCAGGUGUAUAUUUGUGAGAUAUGACAACAUAAGGAAAUGGUCCAGAUACUACGACCCUACAAUCAACUGUGGGUACACGUCAAGCAACGUAAUAUUUGAUAAAGCAAGAUGUCGGGACCUUAUAACCAAUCAUUUUUACAUGUCAAGAACACAUGGCAUUUGAAGAAGCAUCUUUAUGGUGGACAUUGUAGAUGGUGGAGUUGCUAGAUUCAAAGGAAAUGGAUGACAAAUUAAAAAAGGAGAUCACUGAAGCACAACAAAGCCCUAAAUAAACGAAAAAUGCAUAAGAAUUAAUUGACAAUAAGGAGUCUAAUAUUGCAAUACAAAAUUCUUGGCAGAUGGGUAUAUAUCAGUCAACAUUAGAAGAGAUAAGGCUGAGUCAAUAAGAGGAGGUUUAGGAAGAAUUAAACCCCCAACCACAGUUGAUAAAAUUAACUAGAUAGAGAAAAACAAAUCCCAAGUAUGCUAAUAUAGCAAUAGAAGAAGAUGAUAGUAUCAAAGAGCCAAAGACCUUUAAAGAAACACACAAGAAAUGAAGAAGAGCAACGAAAGAAGAGGUCAUGGCUCUAAGGCAAAAUAAGACUUGAGAUUUGGUGCUAAGGCUUGAUAGAGUAAAGCCUAUAUCCUGCAAGUGGAUAUACAAAGUAAAGAAACGUCUUGACGGAUCAAGAAAGAUAUAAGACCGGACUAUUGUGGAUUAUUGCAACAAUAUGGAUUGGACUAUGAUGAAAAAUUUAAUCAAAUGGCAAAAAUUACUACAAUUCUAUGGCAGAUGGAUGUGAAAAAUGUGUUUCUUCAUGAGGGCUUGAUUGAGACAUAUACGUAGAGUAACCAAAUGGAUUCGAGAAAAAAGAAAAGCCAGGAUAUGUUUGCAAGUUAAAGAAUGCUCUCUAUAGGUUAAAGCAACCACCACAAGUAUGAUACAAUAAGAUAGCUGAAACUUGGUAGCACUAGCAGACUCAAGUCUAUUUAUUAAAGCACAAAAUAGAAAAUUAACAAUAGUGCUAGUAUAUGUGAAUAUCUUAUCAUCAUUCGAGAUGAAGAAGAUGAAAUUCAACAAACCAGAAAUAAUCUAUCGAUGAGAUUCCCAAUGGAAGAGUCUGGAGAGCUAAAUCAUAUUAUGAGACUCAAACAAAAGUUUAGGAUGACUGAUUACAAACCAAUAUGAACACUAAUUGAAAUUGGAUAAAUGCAAGGACUUGGAUAAAUGCAACCAUGUACAUGAAGCUAUUAGAAAGCUUGAUCUACUUAACGCUAACAUGACCUGACAUUGCAUAUGCAGUUGGAAUAGCUGCAUCAUGGAAAUGUUGAAGAAGCCACCUUGAAGUAGUACGACGGAUCUUAAUGCAUGUAAAAAGAACAAUUGAUUAUGGACUCUUUAACAAGAAAAAUGAAGAUUCCAAGGUAUUGACUACUAUGUGAAAGUCCAAGAAUAGCUAACGAAGAGAGGUGAAUUGUUUAUUAAAACUUUUUUGAGAAUUAAUUUUAAAUCUAAAACAGUAUGAUAGCAAAUGAAAUAAUUAGAUAAAUAAGCACAAAUGCAAAAGCAAUAAGUAAAAGGGGAGAGAAUGUCCAAACGAUGUAAAUUAGGUCCUUUUGAUUAAGUUGGGCUUUCACUGAAAAUUAGAAAUGGGAAAAUCAUAUUUUUAGGUUUGAACUAAAUUAAUUAGUUAGCAAAUUUAUUUAAAAAAUAAAAUAAUUUGACUUAUUUAAAAUAAAUAAAUUUAAAAAUUAGGAAGAUUCAGUUUUUCGACUCUUGAUUUAGAACCGAAUAUCAAACCAAACCUAUCGGAUCUCAAUUCAAAUACCUGUUCUAGUAUUUAAAUUAAGACGAAUUGCUCGAUUUGGUUCAGUUCAAGUUGGGUCCGGUUCGAUUCUGAAGUUUCGUUCGACCCUAAUCUUAAGUAAAAGUUUAUGUGACGGUGAGAUUUAUAGCCUGCUAAAAUUGAUCAAAAUUUAUAAAUUUUAUGUGAAUGUUGAGGGGAAAGAAUGCAAUUGGACAAAUAUCAGAUAGUUAUGAUUGAUCGUUGUUUGUGUAUAUGUCAAUUAUUUGAUAAAUAAGUUUAUGAUGUGCUCCAAAAAUUAAAUUAAAUUUGUAAUUUAUGUGACACAUCCCUAUUGUUUUAUUUACAGUCAGUAAUUGUUAUUAUUAUAUAACUUUCAAAAUAUUGAUUAUUAGAUUUGUUGAGCGGUGCUAAGCACCCGGCUAUGUGCAAUGGAAUCCAUACCUACAAUUUGUCAAAUGAUGCACACUUAUCCAUUCGAAGUAAUAUAGGUAAUAAAUCCCAAUACCACAUUUACAUGGGUAUUUAACGCCACUUAUACUGAAUGACACCCCAUAUACAUACACACACAUUUCCCCCAAUUUGGUAUAAAUUAAAAUUCUGAUUUAAUUUAAGUAAAAGUUAACAAUUAAUUUUAACCACUCAUUUUAUGAAACCCUCACAUUUUUUCAUUCACACAUUUUCAUCAACUUUUAUAAAGAUCUACAAAAAAUCUGAUUUUAAACCCCCACCACGGGGCAUAAUUAACACUCUCACACGCGACCAUCAACCUAAACAAUUAGAUUUUUGUCUAGUUGCUCUCUCUGUCUCUCCACACACACACACACAUACACACACACACACACUCUCUCUCUCUCUCUCUCUCUCUCUCUCUCUCUCUCUCUCUCUCUCUCUCUCUCUGUGUUUGAUGGUCAUUAUUGUGUUAAUGUGAUGUGGGCAGUGUGACGUAUGCUCAAAUUUGCACUAGACAGGAUAUAGCCUAUACAGUCAGUGUGCUUAGUGGGUUUCAGUCAAAUCCAGGACAAGAACAUUGAAAAGUAACUAAGAAAGUUAUGAGAUACUUGAUGAAAACUGAAGAUUAUAUACUUACAUUCUAGUGUUCAAAUCAUCUUGAGGUGGUAGGCUACUCAGAUUCUAAUUUUGCUGGAUGUCAAGAUGAUUUAAAAUCGACCUCAAAUUAUAUUUUCAUGUUAGCUGAUAGUGCUAUCUCUUAGAAAAGUGUUAAACAGACUCUAGUGGUAUCUUCUACUAUGCAAGCUGAAUUUGUGGCAUAGUAUGAGACUACAGUUCAAACCGUUUGGUUAAAAAAUUUCAUCUCUGGGUUGAAAAUUAUUGAUUUCAUCUCAAGACCAAUCACUAUCUAUUGUGAUAAUAGUGCAGCAGUAUUCUUUUCAAAGAAUAAUAAAAGUUCUGGUGGAUCAAAGCACAUUAAUAUAAAAUAUUUGGUGGCUAGAGACAGAGUCAAGAAAGGACAGACGAAUAUAGAACAUUAAUACAAAGACGAUGAUUGCGGAUCCUUUGACCAAGGCACUCUCUCCAAAAGUCUUUUAAACACACAUGUUGCUAAUAUAGGCAUUGUGAAAACAUUUGAUUUUUUGGUUAGUGGGAUAUAUAUAUAUAUAUAUAUAUAUAUAUAUANGGCUUGAUCCUUUUAUAGGAUAUGUAGGCAAUCUAUAAGUUUUUAGGUACAACCCCCUCUUCCAAAAUAAAAUAUAUUUUUUACAAUCCAUGAAUUAUUUUGAGCAUGCAUUUGAUUUAUAUAUUUUAUUAUAUUAUUGUAAUAUCGAAAUAUGAUAGAUAAAGAUAUAAGAUGAGUCUCUUUUGGAGACAUGUGGCUUCAUUUUGAUCUGAAGCAUUAUAAGGAUCGUUAUGAAUUAGCAAAGAUUUUUUUUUAAAUCACAUUUGAUGCUAAACUCAUAUCACAUACUAUCGCAUUGGUUGGAGGAUGGGGAUCCAUGUCGAUAAAAAUGUUGGUAUUGUAGCUUUGGAAUGGUCUUGCAUCGUUUAAUCUGUGUAAUGAUUUCCAUGUUCAGUGUUAAAAUUCUUGUUGGAUCGGAUCAUGUUGCGUAAGUUGUUUUCAAUAGAAUUAUACUUUUGUGGCCGCCUAUGUAGUCUAAUUCAGUUGUUAAAAGUUUUGUUAUAGUAAUCAAAUAUUUGCCCAAAUAGGAGAAUGGUGGAAUGUCUCUAAUAUGUGAUUCACAUUUGAGCAUUUAUUUUACAGGUUAGAUGUAUAACUCAUAAUAAUAUUUGUGAUUGGGCCAAAAUUUAUUAAGUAAUUAAUUGGGCAUUUUACAGUUUACGAGUUGUAUUUAAAAUGAUGUGGUAAUUUUAAAUAUGUGGACCGAAAAUAUAUAUAAGCCCUAAUUAGAGUUUAAGUCGUAAUGGGCCGGUUUGAUAAUUUCCUAUAUAAAAGCUAUGUUCCCUCUCUUUUCCAUAUUAUUUUUAAUAACUUGCCCCAUUGAUGACUAAUAUUUCGUGAGGAGUAAGGAGGUGAAAGCUGCUAUUAAUCAUAUCAAUAAUGGCUUCUACAUGUAUGAAUUCAAUUUAUCAAUUCAUUAUUUUGUGAUUCUUAGGAACACUUCAGCCUUUCUUCAAUUAUUGUCCCUUUCCCUCCAAUAAAUCCAUUAUUAGUUUAUUGGAAAGAAAGAAUGGAAACUAUGCUCCAUAUAAAUCUUGAGUGUUAUACGUAUUACCAAAAGUUUAAAGCUGCUUUUGUUUUUCAAGUUGUCUCAAAGUUAUCAGCAUUUGCAAAUACAGGAAAGAUAAAAGUUAAUAUAUUAAUUUGGUUGCUUGCUAUCGGUCAACUUAAACAAUAUUGACUCUAAUAGUCUUUUGAAAGUUAAAUGCCCAUAUCAUGCAAUUAGAAAACCAAUUAAAAUGAUUUAAAUGGGUUACGAUUUAAUAGAAAAUGUCGAAAACAUUAAUUAAAAAAUGAAAUCUAUUUUACAAAUUCCAAUACACUAUGUUCACUAACUACUAUUUUGGGUGCCAAAAUGCACUUUUAAAUGGAUUGUUUGCCAGUUUUUAUUUUUUCCGUAGUUCGGGAGAUUUAGCCCCUUAUUGUGGUUAUUUUUUUGAAAAACAUUGUCUUAAACAGUGUUUUUUUUGGAGAAUGUAUAGUUAAAAAGUGAAAAAAGUUUUGAUGUUAAGUGUAUAAUAUUUUAUUUAGUAGAUGUGAUUGAAAAUAAGUAUAUAUAUAUAUAAAAAAGACUUUUGAAAGAAUAGUAGACAAACUGGGACUUAAUUCAAUGAGAAGUUUAUUUUGUUGUAAAAAAAAAUGGCUACAAUCAUUUGACUAUGUGAAAUGUGACCUUUCACAAAGCCCUUGUUUGAACUCCAUCCUUAAAAAAAAAAAAAAAUACAUUUUAAACAGUAUUUUGACAUUAUUUCAACCAUACAUUAUUCAUUACAAUAAUGUUACACGAAAAAUCCAAUUUUUUAAAAAAAUUUUAACCACACAUUUUUCAUUGAUAUAUUAUUUAAAAAUUCAUUCUUGUUAGAAGAGUGGGCUUCAAACAAGGGCAAAAUGUAUUUGGAAGUCUAACGAGUCUCCGUGUGAAUUAAGUGUUUGUUUGGUACAGAUUUUAAGUCAAUUAAAAUUAAUUUUUUGAUUAUUAUUUUACUAUUCCAGUCGUUAUUUUUGAAUUCUUCUCUCACAAGUAGGAUCCAUUUUAUUUCUAACAAUUAAAAAAUUAAUUAUCAAAAUCCUUAUCAAACAAGCACUGAGCCUGCAACUUGCUACUUUUAAGAUAUAAGCGUUUCAUGGAUUUAACAUAAUAACAUGUGGUAGGUGGUAAAGAUGAAAAGGAUUAUAGAUUGACUUGGGUAGACCGAUAAAUGAGCCUAAAGUUGAGACCAAAUUCAUCCAAAGUUAAAUAAAAAUAUAAUUUCUCUCAUUUACAGUUUUUAGGAUUAUACAUCUACCAUAUAUAGGCGAAUUCGUGGUAACGAAGAAUUAAUUUAAGAAGAAAUGGCGGACGAAGCUGCCAAGGGACAGAGGGAGUAAUUUUUUUUUAAAAUAAUAUAAAAUAAAAUUUCUUAACUGUAAAAAAAAAAAAAAAUCAACCUAUAUAAAUGAAACGGGUCAAUGUUAAAAUGGAAGCAAAUAUCUUUAUGGGACAUAGAGCAUACAAAUUAUAUUUUUUCUUAUUCCUUUUUAAUUAAAAAAGAAAGGGAAUAUGGAUUGACUUGUUUAGACCUAGUCUCUGUUUGGUAGGUGGUAAUUUACAUAACAAGACAUCAUAAUAUAGAAAUUUUCUAUUUUAGUCCUUAAAAUUAAAUAAUGGUUGAAAUUUGAUAAUUUUUAUUUGAUUUAUUUGAUUAAUAUUUUUAUUAUUUGAUUUAUUUGAUUUUUGUUUGCUCUAAGUAGCCCCCUAAUUGGUAUUAGAGUCAUUAGUAAUGGCAAAAAAAUUCGCCCCGCUCCGCCUCGAAUGGGGCAAAAAGACCCGCCCCGAUGGGUUGGCUUGGCUUGGCUUGGCUUGGCGGGGCGGGGGAAAUAUUUAUUUAUUUUUUUUUUUACAUUUUUAAAAUUUCAAGUUAUAUUAUUAUUAGUUAAUAAAAUACUAAUGUAAAAUUUUAAUUAAUUACAAAAGAAAUAAAAUUUAGUCAAAACGUAAUUUUAUUUGAAAUUGUUUAAUUUUUAACAUUGUUUAUUUCAAGUGUUUACUUUGAAUUUUAAAAUUUUGAAUUUAUAUUUUAUUCUCUAAUAAUAACAUAAUUUGAAAUUAAAAAAAAUUAAAUGGGGCAACAAAUGGGACAUGGCGAGUGAGGCGGGGUGGGGCGUGGGUGAGGCGUCCCCGAACCCACCCCACUGCCAUCCCUAAGAGCCAUAGAGAUCAUGAAAAAACCUAUAAAAAUAGAUUACUUAAAGAAAUAAAAAUCUCUAGAUUAAUACUAAAAUUUUGCAAAUAAAUAAAAGUUUAACUAUUAGAAAGUUAAAGGAAUAUUUAGAUUAUACAUCUUAAUCAAAUAUUUAUAUACAAACAUAAAGAUUAUGGAAAUUAAAAUAAGAAAAAUAGAUCAUUAUUGGUAUUUAGAAGAAGAAAAAGAUAGCUAUAUAUUUUUAGAACCUAUUCAUAAUAGAUUAAAAAUAAUGACUUUAACAAUAAUUAAAGAACUUCCUAAAGAAAUAAAGGAACAAAUAUUCGAUAAAUUAAUAAUAGAAAAAAUAAAAGAUAUAUAUACAUACGAAAAAAUUAUUAAUAUAUAUGAAGAUGAAGAAAAUAAUUUAUAUUAUAAAGAAAAAUAUGAGUACAAGUAAUAAUACACAUUUGAAAUUAAAUAAACUACUUAUAAAAAUGGAUAAAAUACAAGAAGAAAUACGAAAUAUAAUGUUAAUACCAGAAGAAAUGAGAAUAUCAAAUAAUAGACAAUUAUUAAAAUUAAAAUGUGAAAGAUUAAGACUUGGGAGCAAAUAUUUUACUAUAGUAAAAGAAGAAUUAGUAGAUCCAGAUAUAGAUGAAAGAAAAUUUGGAAAAACAAUAGAUAAAAAGGAAGAUAAAAAAUGCAAAUUAACCGACGAGUUAGAAAUAAGAAAAAAUUAAGAUAUCAAUAAGUGAAUAUAUGGAAGUAUUAAAAUUAUUAAUAAAAAUGUUAAUAAAUGAUAUACAAGAUUUGAGAAAUGAAGUAAAAGAAACAAGAAACGAUAUAAAUAUAUUAAAAAUUGAGAUUAGAGAAUUAAAAGAAAAUAACAAAAAGAAAGAUAAGAAAAUAGAUAAAAAAAAACUUAUAGAAAAAGAGAUGACUCGAAUAGGAAAGAAACAUAUAGAAAAAGAGAAUAUAGUAAUAGAAACAGGAAGUAUCGAUGAUGAAUUUAGAAAAAAUAUAUUAUCAAAAAUAUUAGAAUAGGAAGAAAAAUCACUAGGAAAAUUAAAAAUAGAAGAAAAAGAAAAUAAAAAUGAAUGAAGAAUUAGAUUUGUUAAUAUAAAAUUUCAAUCAACUAAAUCUAACUGAUAUAAGUGAAUACCAAGUUUUAAUGAAUAUUGGAGGAGGACCUAAUCCAGGAGGAACCUCUAAACAGGAAUUACAUAAUACAGAUGAAAGUUAUGCACCUAUAUAUAAUAAAUCAUAUAGACAAUUCUAUAAUAAAGUAAGAGAUAGACAAUCACCUAGAUUUGAACUAAAUGAUAAUUAUGAUAAACCAAUUAAUCAUGAAGGAACAAAACUAGAUUUAAAUUAUAAAAUAGCUACUAAAAAAACCUUAUUAACUUGGGCAGAUUCAAUGAUAUUAUUCUUUUUAUAUAACAAAGAUGACACGUGGGAAAAUAUUGAAAGAAGAAUAUAUUUCUUAAUAGCAUCAUUUGAAGGAGAUGUUAGAAAUUGGUGGGAAGGAAUAAGUAAUGAUACAAAAAUAUUAAUAAAAAGAAAUGUACAAAUACGAAUAAUAAAAGCAGAUAGACAAGGUAUAGAAAAAUUAGUAGAAUAUAUUUCAGAUGAAUUUUUAGAAGAAAAUUGGAUAAGAAAUGCUGAAGAAGAAUCAAUAAGAGAAAAAGAUAAAGUUAAAAUAAAAUUAAUAAAUUUAACAAUAUGUGAUAUGUGUAAAAUUAAAGAAUAUACUUGUGAAUUUAAGAAUUACUAUUAUAUUCAAUUUUAUAGUAAUGAAAAUCAAGAAGUAUACCAAGACAUGUAUUAUAAUGAGUUCUCAGGUUCAUGGUGAAUAUAUUUUAAAAUAGAAUUUAAAAAAUAUGUUAGAGAUAAUACUCAAAUAUCUAGGACUUUAGAUUCAAGAAUAAAUUUUUUAUUUGAAAGACUUGUAUAUAUAUGUCAACGGAGACAAUUAAUGAAAAAAAUCAGGAAAAUUAACUAAAAUAUGUUGUGAAGAUAUGGAAACGCCUGUGCAAUGAGAAUGUAAUCCUGAAAGAAGAAUUAAUAAAAGAAAAUAUAAAAAUAAAAAGUUUAAAAAAUUUAGAAAUUUUAAUAAAAAAUGUAUAAAAUCUAGAAUAAGAUAUUAUAAAAGAAAAAAUAACCCAUAUAAUCAACAGAAGAAUAAAAAGAAAAAUAUAAGUGAAUGUAAGUGUAAAUGUUGGAAUUGUGGAAAAAUAAAUCAUAUAAGUCCUGAUUGUGAUAAAAAGAAAGUUAGAAUAUUACAAAAAGAAAACUUAGAAAUAAAAGAUGAAUUAAGUGAAAUAUCAGAUAUUGAAGAAUAUUAUAAUAAAAAAAUACAUAUAAGUGAAACGGAAGAGAAUGAAUCAGGAUCUAAAUAAAGAUAUUGAAGAAAUAGAAAGUAAUAAUAUAAAUAUACAAGAAUAUGAAAAAAUAGAAGGAUAUAGAUUAAAAGUCACUUUUGAUAAUAAUAAGUUUAGAAAAUUGUAAAAAUUAUCCUUAGAUUUAAAAAUAGGAAAAUGGGAAGUCUUUGAUAGAAUUUGAAAAAGAGAAAGAAUAGUAAUAAAUGAAUAUCACAUAAUAGAAAAAAUCAUAGAUAUAAGGACAACUUAUAGGCAACAUAAAUUAAAUCUUUUAACAAAAAAUACAGUUGAUGAAUUAUUAACAAAGAUUAGCAAAAAAUAGAGUGAAAAAAUCCAAAAAUUUUAUUUAGCAGAAAUAUAAAUAAUGUUUAAAUCAUUAUUUAGAGAAGGGAAAGACUCACCCUUAACUAUAACUUUAGAUGAUGAAAAAAUAAUAAAUUUAAAAGACAGUCAUUUAGAAACAAUAGAAGGAAAUUUGACAUAUCAAAAAAUUAUGUUUACAUGUUAUUCAAAAUAUUGUGUAUCAUUGAAAGAUAGAAACUUUAAUGAAGUUUUAGGACUACAUUUCAAACUUCGUAGAGAUGAUAUUAUGCAACCAGGUGACCAAAUUAUGACUAUAGUAUAUAGAAUUUUAUACACAUUUACCAAUUCUAAUUAUAUAAAUAUCUAUUCCAAUAAACCAUAUAUUGAAGUACAUAAAGAAUGUAAAGAUAUUGGUAAAAUAAUAUAACCAAAUAAAUAAAUAAGUUUAAUUCUAGAAGAAUAUGAAUUUAGUAUAGCAAAAAAUAAACCUGAAAUAACAGAAUUAAAUGAAGGAGAAUAUUCUAAUAACAUAAUAUUUAAGAAUGGAAAAUUAAUUAAAAGAUCAAAAAGCUUUAAAAUACCUAAUAAAAACUAGUUAGAAGAAAUCAAUAAAAUAAAAGAAAUAAAAUUAUAUAGAAAUGUUGGAAAUAUGAAAAUAGAAGGAGAAUAUUAUAAUGGAAGAGAACAUAUAAAUGGACCAAAUAUAUUAAUAGAUUCAAGAGCUAGUGAAUGUCAUAUACCUUCAAUUAGAAAUAAAGGAUUAGUAACUCAUAAAACUGAGCCAUAUAAAUAUGUAAAUUUUGAUGGACAGGAACAUAUUACAGAUUUGGAAGUUGAGGUACCAAUAAAAAUAUGAGGAAUAGAUCUUUUAGUACCAUUUUACAUAGAUAGAAGUAUAGAUAUAAACCCUCAUAUACUUUUAGAAAUGAGUUGCAUAAAUGGAUUAGAAAAUUAUAGUAUAAAAAGAAAAUUAUUAUAUAUUGUUCAUAAUGGGCAAACUACACUAUGUAAAAAGAAUUAGAUGAAUAAUCAGAUAAGUUUUUCAUUAGCUGUAUAUAUACAAAUAUUCUAGAAACAAAUAUAACAACUUGUGCGUUAAUAGAUACAAGAAGUGAUAUAACAAUAUUUAAAAGUUUUUUAAUAAAAUCAUGGGAUAAAAAUAGUAACAUAAAAAUAACUGGAGUCACAGAAGAAAGUACUCGAUAAUUAAUAGUUUUGAUAAAGUAAAUAUAAUUUUUGGAAGUAAACAAGUUACAAUAAAUAAAGUAUAUAACUAUGAUAAACUAGAAUGUGAUAUAUUAUUAGAAAAUUGUUUUAUACAACAAAUUUCAAUAUUAUAAGCAAAAUAAUUAUAUGAUAAUGCUACAAACAUCUUGUGGACACUUAUUAAAGAUUUCUAGAGAAUUUAAAACUUAUAGAGUUCAAUCAGUUCAGCGUGAUGAUAAAUGAGAGAAAAAAUCAAUCAUAAAUAAUGAAAUAAAAAAUAAAAGAAUAAUAUGUAAAAAAGUUCUAAAAACAGAAAUAGAAAUGAAUAUAGAAAAAAUCAUUAAACAACUAGAAAAAAUUUAUGGAGAAAAUCUAUUAUUAUUUUGGAAACCACAUCACCCAAAGGCUAAAGUAAAAUUAACAGAAAAUGUUAUAAUAAGAGUCAGGCCAAUGAUGUAUACUAUAGAAGAUACACAAGAGUUUAAAAAUCAGAUAAAAGAAUUGUUAGAAUAAAAACUUAUUAGACCUAGUAAUAAACCUUAUAGUAGUUCAGCCUUUAUGGUUAUGAAACAUUCUGAACAAGUUAGAAAAAAAGCUAGGAUAGUCAUAAAUUAUAAAGAAUUAAAUAAAUAUACUAAAUUUGAUUGUUACUUUCUACCAAAUAAAGAAGUGUUAAUAAAUCUUGCAAGAGGAAAACAAUAUUAUUCUAAAUUUGAUUGUAAAUCAGGAUUUUGGUAAGUAAAAAUGGAAGAAUAUUUAGCACACCUCAAGAAAAAUAUGAAUGGUUAGUUAUGUCAUUUGAUUUGAAAAACGUACCACAAAUAUAUCAAAAAAGAUGGAUAAUAUAUUUAAAAAGUUUAAUGAAUUUCUAAUAGUUUAUAUUGAUGAUAUAUUAAUAUGUUCUAAUAGUAAAGAAGAGCAUAGAAAUCAUUUAAUUCAAUUUAUUAACGAAUGUAAAAAAGAAGGAAUUGUACUAUCUAAAAAAAAGUUCUAUAAUAGAAAAACAAAAGAUAAACUUUCUUGAAUUAUCCAUAGAUAAAAGAUGGAUAAAAUUACAAACUCAUAUAUCCAAAAAGAUAGAAAGUUUUCCAGAUAAAUUAGAAUCCAAAGAACAAAUUCAAAAAUUUUUAGGAUGUUUAAAUUAUUUAGAAGGAUUUAUUGAAAAUCUUUUUAAAAAAAGAUAUAAAAUUCAAGUUUUAUUUAGAAAAAUAAAUAUUAAGGGAUGGAAUGAAAAACAUACAGAAAUAGUUAAAUCAUUAAAAGAAGAAUGCAAAAAUUUAUCAAAAUUAAGAUUAUCAGAUAAAAAAGAUAAUUUGAUUGUUAAUACUGAUGCCUCAGAUAAAUAUUGGACAGUAAUAUUAAAAAUAGAUCUUAAUGAAAUUCGUAGAUAUUCAAGUGGAACCUUUAACCAAGCAGAAAUAAAUUAUACUACUCAUGAAAAAGAAUUACUAACAAUUAUUAGAUGAAUAAAAAAGUUCUCAUUGUUUUUAUUAUCCAAGAAAUUUAUUGUUGAAACUGAUAAUUUUUAAGUUGCAGGAUUAGUCAGGAAUCAGUUACCCUCAGAACCUCAAUACAGAAGGCUUCAUAGAUGGCAAGCUUAUUUAGCAUUUUAUAAAUUUGAUAUAGUCCAUAUUAAAGGAGUUAAUAAUUUUCUUACAGAUUUUCUCAGCAAAAACAUAGAAUUUGCUGAUGGAUAAAAUCAAGGUCAUGGAAUUAUACCAAUCUAUCAUACACAUACAAAAAAAGGAUGGAUGUACUUAAAGAAGAAUCCGAUGAUAUAAAAUCUGGAACAACCCAGGUUUCAGAAAUGUUCAACUCAAAUAUAAAAAUACUGUUGAAUAUCACUACUGAGCAUAAAAAAUAUGCUAUAGAACUCAAAAAUCAAGUUGAUGCUAUUGCAGCACAACAAAAAUCUAUACCGUCUGAAACAGAUAUACCAAAGAGCUCAAAAAUGAGUUUUCCAAAUCAAUACCAAACAGGGACAACUGGAAGCAGCAGGGACCCAAACGUGACAACAUACCAACUGAUAAUAAAGGAGAUUCCAUUUCUGUAUCGUCAAUUAAGAAAGUUAUGAUACAUGGAGAUAAAAGAGAUACCAAAACAAUUAAUAUCAUAGACCAAGAAGAUAAAAUCCCUUUAAAUCCAAACGAAGAAAAAUAUGUUGACAUAGUCAAAAUCGCUUAUAAAAUAAAAAUAAGUGAUUCAUAUUUCAUUUCUCUGAGAAAUAAUGUUUAUCCCUGAAUAACAGCCAUGUAAGGAGGUGACCCUUCAUUUAUAAAAAUUAUGACAGACUGUGGAUUCAUGGAUUUGAUUUAUCCAAGAAUUUUUUUUUAUUGAAAUUUCAAAGUUUGAUGACAUAUUCAUUAAGGAAGUAUCCAGAUUUGCCAAGGGAAGGAAGAUAUUUUUAAAAUUCUAUUCAAUUAGUCCAUAGUAUGAUGGAGUUGUUUACUAUCCAAUUGAACACAUAAUCUCAAUUGGAUAUGUUGCAGCCAAUUUUCAAAUUGAUGUUACAGAGAAUAAUAGGAAAGUCCCAACAGAGACAAAAUCAUGGAUUAGACAUAGAAAAACACUUGAAAUUAAAGCCAUUUACAACAUUGUCAAAAAAUUGUUUGAUAAAAAAUUCUCGUGCUUGUGCCAAUAUGAAAAAUGGAUGCUGGUAUCCAAUGGAGGAUAUGCAAAAUCAGAAAUUUUAAAAGACUAUAUUAUAAGAUUUGAUAUACAUAAAUUUUCAGAAUGUCUUACCUCUAUAAAAGAAUCCUGCCAGCUAAGAAAGUGCCCCAACUGCAUGUGAAGAAAUGAAAGAAGAAGACAAAGCACCUUUUGACAAAGGUGUAUGAAGGACAAUAAUACUACAUGUGAAGACAUUGAAGAUAAAGAGCAAUAAUAGAAAAAUAUGCUCUUUGGAUAUAAAAGUUGAACCAACAUGUGAAGAUGUAGGCCCAAGGAAGAAAAUAGAGAGACAAAAGUGCCUUUACUGAUGUAAUCAAUGAUGCAAUAGAGUCUCAUAAACUUGUAUAAAUAAAGACAUUACCAUAGAAGAAUAUCAUCUCAUCCUAUCUUGAAAUCUCUAGUUGUAAGCAAUAGCCCAUUCUCAGUUUGAAAAACCAGUUUUUCUGAAAAUCCCUUUGUAUCAAAUAGAAGUCUUGUAUAAAUUUUGAUAGAAAUAAAAUUCCAAUAUUUUUAUAUCAAUAUGAGUUUCUAAAUCUUUUUCCCAUAAAUUUUUGAAGGAUUUAAUAAAAAGUUUUCUUCUUAAUUUAGCAAAAAGAGAGUUUUUUGUUUUAACAGAAGUCUAGAAUUUUAUUCUUUAAAAGUUGAUACAUUGAGAGCAAGUAGCUGAAAUAGUAACAAUUUCGUGAAGGCUGGAAGCCGUUGAAGGAAGCAAUUUACAAAUUUAGAGCUCGAAGGUCAAUCGGUUCUAAAAAUACAGGUUUAGAUCAAACGUAAGGUAAAACUAUUAAACUUUUGCUAAAAUUAGAAUGAAUCUUUUUAAGAGCUUAAAAGAAUCACGGGGACAAUUGCAUGAUGAUUAUUUUGAUAAAUUCCAGGAUAUACAAUUGAAGGAUUAAAUAAUUUAUUAAAAAGAAAUAAAGAAUAUUAUAUCUCAAUUAAAAAAUAUAAAUUUACUAUUUGAAGAAUAUGAUAUUUUACUUAGAAAAUAUGAUAUGUAUGUUGCAGAUUAUUCCUAUUUAUUAGAUCAUAGAAUGAUUUUAUAUUCGAUUAUUCAAAAUAGAGUAAAUAGAAGAUAAAAUGAUUAAAAGAUUAGAACAUAUGUUACAAUAUAAAAAGAAUUAUUUCAUUAAAAAUAAUAUAGACCUUUCCAUAAAAAAGAAUAGGGAUAUGCCGAAUAGAAAAAUCUCCCAAUUCAUCCAAAGUUACAUAAAAAAGGAAAAAGAAAAAAAAAAAAUUCUCCCAGUUUCGGUUUUCAUGAUUAUACAUCUACCAUAUAUAGCCGAAAUAAUGGCACCGAAGAAUUAAUUUAAGAAGAAAUGGAGUACGAAACUGCGGUGGGAUUUCUGCUAGAAAACUUAAAGCAGCUACUUCUUUACAAUGCACAUCUGAUUGAUGUGAAGAGCGAUGUCGAAUCUCUGCAAAACGAACUGCAAUUGCUCAAAGCCUUUCUCAAAGAUAUGGCAAAAUGGGACAACAACCCUGAAGUCCUAAAUACAAUCGUGAAGCAAAUCAGAGAUAUUGUGUACGAAGCAGAAGACUAUGUGGACGUGUAUGUUGCUCAUUCAGCUAUGCAGAAGGCUCGAAAUGGCUUAAAGAAAGUUAUCCAUAUAUUCGAUCAUACGACGAAGCUUCGAGAUAUGGCAGAGAAGAUUAAGUCUAUAAGGGCCAUGGUCAACGAUACAUAUCAGAACAAGAAAUUUGGGUUUGAAGCCCUGCUAGUUGCUGCUCCUCUCGUCGAAAAGAAAGAGGUAAAUUGCCAUUACUCUGGUUAGUGAUUUUAAAUCUUUGUUAAUUGAUUAUGUUUACAAUUUAUCAGUUCCGAGCAUUUUUGGCUUAGCAUAAUAAAAACUUGUUAAUUUGCUUAGAAAUAAAAUUUAAUUCUGGGCAUCUCGAGUGAAUCUUGAUAUUAGAAAUUAGGGGAGUAUUUUUUGAACAAAGAAACGCAAGAUCUGAUGAAUUCGAUAAGAACAAAAAAUUAAGUUGACCAUACCUCCUUUGUUAUUUCAGGAAUUAAUUCAUUUUAACACUAAUUAGAGACGGUUUGACGCACUUCACUACUUGUAGAAAAUUUUAUAAGCAAAUUACUUUAGAACAACUUUCUCCAAACAAGCAAUUUGAGAAAACGUGUUUCACAGUAGCUUCUUUAUAAUCUUUUCAAAAGCCUACUCUCUACAUAAUUCAUUAUAAUAGACGUGUCAUUAAAAUAUAUGAUUAAUAAAUUAUGUUUAUAGUUCUGUUUGACAUCCUUUACUUAAUUUAGUUUGUUUCUCGUAUUCAUUUUUAACCACACAUGAGUAAUGUUUGGUGUACAGAAAUAUUCUUACAGAAAAUUUACGAAUAUCUCACAAAGUGUGGACCUUGCAUGAAUAAAUAAUGUCAAAAUACUCACCCACCCACCCUGCCCAUUUGAGGUAUCUGUAGGGGUUCCGUGAAUUGAUUAAAUUGCGUUUGGCUGAGCCACAUUUCUUCCCCUCUUCUUCUCCCCCCCCCCCUCCCCCCUUCUUAUCUUCUCCUCCCUUCUCCUUCUCCUUCUUCUUUCUUUCUUAUUCAUCCUACAUCAAAUUGGUAUCAGAGUUAAACCUGGUUCCAACUUCUACAAUUGAACACAUUAACUGGAGUUCUAAGUUUUGGAUUUCGCCUUAUAACUGAAGCCCUACACAAACCCAGCCGCCAUCUUCGUCUAUUACAUAUAACACAACCACCACCGUCAACCUACUGCUGCAACACCCGUUCACCAUCUCUGCCUUUAUCAAUCAUCUAUUACACUCAACAAGAUACCCAUACAAACCCGGCAAAACUACAAAUCAGCACCGCCAGCUACGGUAAAUUCACCAACACCACCCUUCAUAAUACACACGGCCAUCUAUCUACUACAUACACGCAACUCCCAAUUCACUCCAUAUACCCAUCAAAACGUACUACUUACAGCGACCAGAAACGGAGCCAUCGCCUAUCCGAACUGGCCCCGUUGCGACAAUCCGGAGUACCCACCUCGCGGCCGCCGCUCCACUCGUGACCGCCAGGGACGCCGACCAUCGAUUUCCCCUUCCCAGAUUGCUAUUCUACUUGCCGACCGCCGUGUCUUCACUGGUGCCAUCGCCGUUUGAUUUUCAGGCCUUUUCAAUUGGGCCGUGGUUAGUAGUUAGGUUUUGAUAUUCUAUGGCAGGAAAAAAAAAAAAAAAAAAAAGAGGAAAAAAAAAAAAAAGAAAGAGAGAAGAAAAGAAAAGAGUAAAAAAAAAAAAAAAAAAAAAGGAAGUGAAAAAAAAAAUGAAGUGAAAAGAAAACGUAUUUUCUAUUAUUUGUAGGUACUUCUUUUUUAUUCCUGUUGAUUUGACACGGCUACUUCAAUGGACGAAAGGGAAGUUACUAUUUUUAUUUAUCUUUGGUUUAUAUUACUGUUUCGUUUUAAAAUUGCAUCAAUAUUUUCUGUGUGCUGCUGUUAUUCCAGUUUUUACUACCUAAACUCACGUAAUUGGAUCCAUUAACCUCAUUAAAUCUCAUUUUAACCUGCUUAUUUUACGUGAUUAGGUUUUUUGACUAGUAUUUGACCAUUACUUUAUUAUUUUACAUAAACCAGCAGUACUAGCUUGUUGUAUAUAAUUUUAAUCUCAAAAUUUAUUUAUUAAAAAAAAAGAUAAAAGAAAUAGCUCAAAUUUUCAUUUUCCAUUACUUGCAUUUUUUGUUCUUUGAUUUCUCUAUUGCAUGUCAUUAAGUUGCUAUUACAGUGCAUGUAGUUACAUAUUGGUCAUCUUGUCACUUCUAGCUCCAGUACCUUAAACAUGAACCCCUCACAAUUCGAUGCACUCACCCGACAAAUAGCGGCUAUUCAAACUCAAAUGACCGCUACUCUUGAAGAGAGUAAGGCCCUAUCUGUCAGUUUGAAAAAUUUUAAACACAUUCCUCGUUCAAUUGAUGUUGAUAAUUCUAAGGUGUCUCAUAAUAGACAACAUCGUCGACAAGGUAAUCAAAAAUACUUUCGACUCGAUCGUAAGGAUAGGGAUAGGAAUAGGGAUCAGAUUCAUGAGCGAGAACGAGAUAAUUUUGAAAUUCUUACUCAAUGGAAUGUUCUUAAACAAGGAAAUCAAUUAGUGACUGAGUAUAUCGCGCAAUUUGAGGAAUUUCGAACCAAAUGUCAUUUGAUUGAGGAUGAGAGCACGACUUUGAGUAAGUUUAGCCAAGGUCUGAGAGAUGAUCUUAAGCGCGAGCUUUUCCUUCGAGGUGUCACUACUCUUGAUCAUGCUUACUCUUUAGCUCGAGAUUAUGAGUUGAUUACUAGUACUCCAUAUGAAAAGCAUGGUCAUCGUCGUUCACCCAUCUCAUUUGCGUCGCCUCAUCAUAAGUCUAUCAUAAAACCUUCUCCGUCUAAUGUUCCUCCUAUUUGGAAAAAUAAUUGUAAAGGUCGUGAUAGUCCAAGAUCUUCUUCUUCAUGUAGAAAGAAUAUUGACAAUCAUCCUUCGGUGUCAUUGGCUCCACUUCCUCCCGUUAAGUCCUUUCUAGGACUUCCCCCAUCUGAUGUUCCUCCAAUUUUGAAAAAUAAGGGUAAAAUUUUUCAUAAUCAUCAUUUGGUUUCAUUGGCUCCAUCUUCUCCCGUUAAGUCCCUUCUAGGACCUCCCCCUUCUAAUGGUUCUCCAAUCUUGAAAAAUUAGGGUAGAAUUUCUAAAACUCCAAGGUCUUCUUCUCACUUGUUGUGCGUCAACUGUAAAGACUUUGGUCACAUUUCUUCUAAAUGUCCUAAUCGAACCUUAGUCAUGGAAGAAUGAAAGAAUGUAAUAGAGGAGCCGUUAGAAGAUCUAGUCUAUGAACCUAAACUUGAAGAUUUUGAUGACUUGGAUGAUAGUGGGGACACUUAGGUGGAAUCCGGACUCUUCCCGAGACUUGGGAUACUAUACCCCUUAUCUCCGACAAUUCUCGAUCACAUGUUAUAUGUCGUACCCUUACCCAAGUUAAAGAGCUUGAUGAUGUCACCAGUCACCCUUGGAAAAUCCAGUCGCAUGUGGUUAACACUAAGGCAAAAUUAUCUACCAUUGACCAACCUCAAAUUGAUGGUCAAAACAAGAGUGCUAACCAAAAUCCUGACAAUUUAUUACAGUAUCCAGUCCAGAAAAAUCUUGGGAAUUGGGACUUGAUCCUUCCAACUGUUCAAAUUGCAUAUAACAAUCCUGUGAACUGGUCUUUAGGUCUAAAACCCUUUGAAGUUAUUCUUAGUUGUGAACCUUUGAAACCUCUAAACCUUAUUCCCAUGCAUCCACAUGCUUGUGUGUCUAUGUCAAUUGAGGUAGUUGUAUCACAUUUUCAUAGCUUGCAUAUUGAGAUCAAUAAACAAUUUGAAGCAAGUAAAGCAUUAUAUAAACCUCAAGUUGAUUGACAUAAACAACACUUUGAAUUUAAUAUUGGGGAUUAUGUUAUAUUGCAAGCGUGUAAUGCGGGUCUUUUUAAAAUUUCAAAGCAUGUUGGUCAAAAUGCCUAUGUCAAUGAUCUUUUAUCACAUUAUGACCAUCACCCUAUUUUAUUUGUUAACGACUUCGAUACUUACAAUGGCUAUUUUAACACUUUUGUUGAUACUUUUCUAUCUCUACCUGAGAACUCCCAUAUCGAAUCUUUUGCUAUGUCUAUUCGAAUGCCACCAGUCGCAGCACACAAAGAUAAAAUUGAUGUAAUUUUAGAUGAACAGGUUGUGUUAAUCAUUGAUGGAGAGAAUCGGUGCUUCUUUAAUUGUUGGGUAGAUCAACGUUCUUAUUGUGCUCCACUUUAUGCGCAAUCAUGUGAAGAUUUUGGAGAUGAGUUGUAGGAGUACUUGUUAUUUGGAGUCCAAUGUCGGUACUUAAUUAAAAUGAGGGAUCAUCCGCCUUGGUCGGAUCAUAUUCUUGAGGACAAGUUGCCAUUUGUAUUGUUAUCAACCGUGGAGUUCUGAUAUUUGGUUCUUCAAAAAGAUCGUCCACCGUGGUAUGAGUUCAGACAUUGAAGAUUGACGGUAGCUCAUCGUCAUUUGUUCACUCGACAGAGUCGAGUUUUUCUUCCACCCCGGGAGAAUUGAUGCGGACAUCACUUAUAUUAUUAUCGCACUAUUUUACUUUUCUAGUUAUUGGGCUUGUAUUAUUGGUUUGGCCCAAACCUAUUAUUGGUAGGGUUAUGCUUUUACUAUUUAUAUGGUUUUCAGUUGUAAUUUCAUUAGAUGAUGAAUUGAUUAAAUUGCGUUUGGUUGAGCCACGUUUCUUCCCCUCUUCUUCUUCCCCCCUCGGUUCCCCUUCUUCUCUUCUCCUCCCUUUUCCUUCUUCUUUCUUUCUUAUUCAUCCUACAUCACACAGCCUAAUCAAGGUACUUAUUCACCUUCCAACCCUGACUUCGAAAUGUGUCGUCGCCCUUUUCCAUCAAUUCCAGAAUUUCGAAUUAUCUCUCUUCAAAACCAAUCGGUCCACAUGUUCGGUCUUUUUUGUGUUUCGCCCAUGAAGAAAUAACCUUGCAAAAUGAGCAAAAUUCUUCCAUCCCUGGUGCAUUUAAAUUGCUCAGGGUGUUAGACAGUAAACCCAUCCAUUUCACUCGUUUUCCUCCUGACCUAACUCUACUUGUUCAUUUGAGGUAUCUUGUUCUGUCGUGGGACUUCAAAAUACUUCCAGCAGCCCUUUCCAGCCUUUGGAACAUACAAACUCUUGUAAUUGAGACAUCAUCAUGCACCCUUGAAAUCAUAGCAGAUGUAUGGAAUGUGAUUCAAAUGAGGCAUCUAAAAACAAACGCAUCCACAACAUUGAAAGGCCCUCUUGCUAAAUCAAGAAAAAGUGAAGAAGCAUCUUCGAACUUCAAAACACUUCCUGCAAUAUCACCUGAAAGUUGUACAGAAGAUGUCGUUUCUGCAGCUCCAAACCUAAGAGAAUUGGGUAUUCAGGGCAAUUUAGCUAAACUAUUUGAUACCAAGGGUACUGGAUCUAGUUUGUUUGACAAUCUGGGAAAAUUGGUUUACCUUGAAAAUUUGAAGCUAUGGAAUGAUGCAUUUCCUCCUGAAGGAAAAAUAUAUAGCCUUCCCCAAAGCUACAAAUUCCCAUUGAAGCUAAAGAAGCUAACAAUAGUAAGCACCAGGAUCGUUUGGUGGCAUAUUUCUACUUUGGGACUGUUGGAAGGCCUUGAGAUCCUGAAGUUGAAAGAAAAUGCAUUCAGAGGGGACCGUUGGAAGUCCCAGGAUGGAGGUUUCCGUUCUCUGAUAGUCUUGUAUAUUGGAAGGACAGAUUUAGUUUUGUGGGAGGCUUCUGCUCUUCAUUUCCCACGACUCAAGUGCCUCCGUCUUAAUUACUGCAGCAAGCUUCAUGAAGUCCCAUUCGAACUGGCCAAUGUUCCAAGCUUCCAGAUAUUGGACUUGAACUGUACCAGCAGAUCAGCAGCUAAAUCUGCCAAGAAAAUUUCGGAGCAUUAAAAGCAAAUUGGUGGUAGUGGAUUUAAGCUUUCGAUUUACCCUUCAGAUCAUGAUCAAUGAUCUCCAUUUGUUCAAAGCUCAUAAAUGCUACUUCACAGGUAAUAUAUUUUAAAUUUUGUUCUCUUCAGUUGAUAUAUCUAUUCCUGCUUAAAACGUAAGAAACAUAUAUUUCAUGGGAUGAUCCUGGUUAGAAUUAUUCUUCCUAAAUAUUAGCACCAAGAAAGGACUGUUUUUUCCCCUGUGCCCUGUCUAUUUCUUAUCUCUUUGUGGAUAUAUGCUCUAUCAGCUAAUCCAUGAUUUUUAUCACAAAAAUCUGAAACAUAUGAAGUAGAAGUCCAAGUAAACAUGUUUGCUACUAUCUUACAUAUUACUAAUGAAUUAUGAAAAUUAUUUCUAGUGUAAAGGUGUAAAAAUUCAAUGAUAUGAUCAACUUAUACCUUGUGCAGGCAGAUAAUUAGACGAACAAUGAUGUCAUGAGUGUUGAAUAAAGGAAGUUUAGAUGCGUGGAGCCACUGUUUCUUUUCCCUGUCUUUUUACAUUUCGUUCAAUAAAAAGUUGCACUUCAUUUAAAUGUAUGUUGAACAUCAGAAUAUUGGUAUUUCUUUUUAUUCAGUGGGUUGUAUUGCUGUAAUCAUUAGACCUUGCUUUAGCUUUUCACUAUGGAAUUACUGCUGCUUUCAUUUUACCUACUUAUAAUUUUUUUUCUUGACAAAGUGGUCAAUUUUGAAGAGGCAAAUAGAAAACUGCAUGGUCUUGCGCUCUUACUUUAUUGCACCUAAGGUAAUUUGCCUUAGCUUGAUGAGUAUGGUCAUUGUACUUGGAGCAGGUUUUGCUAAGUAAAUUAAACUUUAUGUAAGAUUCUAUCCUCCAGCAUAUUUGGAUAUGCAACUUCUCUUCCUAAUAAAAAACAUAUAAGUCCCACGUUUGGCUAAUAUUUAUAAACGUAUUAUAAUCAAUAAAUCACUUUUUAUCCAUACAUUCAUGAGAGAGACCAUUAGUAAUUUUUUUCCAGGAUAUUGGGAAUUGGAAGCUCAUGGAAGGAGGAAGGAGAGACUUAGAUUUUGAAGUUUGGUAUAGUUGCAAUAUAACUCCAAAUCCUUAACGGUCUUUAAAUUGCGUUUAGAUUUUUCCAUCGUAUACAUAAUUGUUUUAAAUACAUUGCCAAAUAUAUCUGUUGGCUGAGAUUAUGGUUUUGAAUAAAACUACACUUGUUUCUCGCAAAUGAAAUCAAGGGAAAAUUUAUAAUUCACAUAUUUCACGUGUAUGAAAGUAGGACAAAAUGGUUUCAGCUGUGUGAAAACAGGGGAAAUCACUCCAUUAGAUAUUCAGCAACAGAAAAUAGGGGAAACAGAUGGAAAAACGAGAUAAAGGACAGCAAUAGGAGCUUUCCUUACUUCACAAGAUUCUUACAAGAUUCUCGUUAUAUGAUUAUGACAUAUUUUUGCUACUUUUACGAACUUUAAAACAAUGCAAAUUACAUUUAUAGUUCUCAUUCAUUUUAUAAAUUUCUUUGACUUUUCUACUAAAAACACAUUAUAUAUUAACAUUCUCCCCCUCAACGCGUUUUUCUUAAACUCCAAGUGCUUCUAUUAAUUGUUUGGUAAGAGGAAAUUACACUAAAAGUCAAUUUUUGGAUUUGGCAAAAAUGUCACUUUUUUAAAAGUCUUUGCAAAAUUGUCAGAUUUAGACAUUUUUGCCCCUUUGAAUAAUUUGAAUACUUUACAUGUCCUUCAUUAAAUUAGAUAUGACUAGAUGAAAAACUGUUCAAAAACUGUGUAAAUGUCAAGGAUAAAUGACUCAUUAGAUGAGCUUGGACCUGUCCCUUAUGCUAGUUACGUGUAGUGUAAUUUUUGUCUCGGUUCAAGUGUCGAGAAUGACAAACAAUCGGUCGAGCUGUCAUGCAAUAUGUUGUUUAUGAAUCCAUAUUUUGCUUGUGAAGUUGAACAUAUAUUUUUAAAUAUCUGCAAAUGAUAAUGGAAUGAUAAUGGCGAUGUAAGUUAAAGAUAAAAAAUGUAAGUUGAUAGUAUGCUGGGGAACAUCGUAAGUUGAAAAUACCGUUACGACAAGUAUGCAAGCUUCAAUGAAAUUUUCAGUUUAUAAGGGUGAUAAGCAGUAAAGAUAAGAAAAAAGAGCCACAUGCGCUGAUUUAUUAAACAAGUUCAAAAAGCACUCCAACUAUUAAAUUGUUCAAAGUAAUUCAAUUUAAUUAUGCUAAUUGUCCUUUCCUUUUCUCCGUAGUAAUGCUAUUUAACAUUGGUGGUGUUUAUCAUUUAUGUGUCAAUUAGUUCACUAUAUACAAUUUACUAAUUACAAUGUACUUGGUGGGGGAUUAAAAUUAGAAUUUUUAGUGAAUUGUGAUAGAAGUUUUUCAAUUGUCUGGUUGAAUCAUUUUGACCAACUAUAGAGUUGGAGUGCCUUUUGUACGUUUUUAAAGAUUGAGCAAUUUAACUUUUUAGUUAUUUUUAUUCUUUUUUAAGAAAUCAACAAUUUACCCCUUUUCUUUCUCUUUAUUGCUUUUUUACCUUUUUCCUUGUCUUUAUUGCUUUUUGUACAUUUUCAGUGAACAAUUCUACUUUACAAUCAUCUAUUGAGAAUGAGGAAAACAUCUGCUAGGACUGACUGUUUCACUGUUGGGAUGUUGUGCAGAUUGUCAACAUAAGGAUCUGUAAUUUUUAUGCCAACAUAAUGUGCAAUAACAUCCGCAAACAAUAAUGAUAAGAAAAUGAUAAUAUAACUUUAUAAUGUAUAGUACAGUAGGGGAACAUUGAACAUAUAACGUCUUCAACGACAUGGAGCGGCUGUUUGAGAAACUUGUGUUACAUUGGGGUUUGAACAUGUGAUUCGAUUUUGACCAACUUGACCACAAUGAGUGCAUUUCUUGAGUCGUGUGGUAGACUCGAAUCUAUAACGCUUAUGUCGUGUCGGUGGUCUACCUAGAAGAAGACAUACGAUGGGUGACAAAAUAAGAAUAUAUGUAAUUAAGCUCGGCUAUGAUAAUACUAGUUAGAGCUAAAAUGGAAGUGGCUUUGUCCCAUCUCCACUUCCAUUCGUCGUCCACUUAAAUAAACUUUCCCCCAUGCAACACGAUGAAUUUCAAAUGAUGACUCAUACCUGAAAUCUAUUUAGAUCCAUGUAAUACCAAAAAGGGAAAGAAAGGCUGUCGAGAGUUUUCAAAUGUCAAAAUCGAUAGUUAAAUUGUCUAUCCCGACAUCUUGUAAAUGUUGAAUUUGACAGUUCAAAUGUCUAACUCGACAAUUUCGAAGAUACUAUUCGACAGUUGAACGGCCAUGACUUUUGGGGAAGCUUAAAAAACGUGUUUGAAUCUUUGGAAGAAAUUAUUGAAAACAUUAAUGGUGAUAAUCAAUUCUCAACUACAUCUCUAAAUCUUUCCAAAAAUAAAUAGGGAAUAACUCAAUGCUUUAUUAAUAUGGCAUCCUUCACAUUUUCUAGAGGAUGUUGGUAUAUUUUCCUUUCAAAAAUAUAUCAAAAAUCAAACAAAUCAAUGAAUUCUUCACAAUUUUCAAAUAAAUAUGACCAUGUUGUAUUCAACAUUUAAAAUAGUAAAUUAUAAGGUGAAAUUAUAAACAAUUUCUAAUAGUUAACCUUUGAAAAAUAGAUGAUCAAUCCAAUAGCUUUCACUUGUUGAUGAUGGAAUGAAGAUAAUGAAUAGUGAGAAUUUAUGUGUUUUUUUCACUUUUUAAUUUUUUUUUUUACCAAAAUUUAUAUUACACAUGUAAUAAUGAUAUUUCAAAUAUUUAUAAUAUACAAAACAAAUUAUUACAUCACAACAUUAAUGGCACCCAAAUCAAGCAUUAAAUGCUCAUAAAAAGGUGUCACAAAGGGUAUUAUGGACAUUUCGUAGUAAAAAGUGAUAUUUUUGGAAGAAUUUGGUGCAAAUGAAAUUUUUUUUGUGCAUUUUCAAAUUUAAUGGCAUUUAUGAAAAUUUCCCUUGUUGUAAUCUCUUUGUUGGAAGUGCCUUUGUGAUGAUAUUAGAAAUUUGCUCUUUGGACUCGCAAUGGAUGAGUUCUUCUCUAUCUUCAAUUGCAUCUCUCGUGAAGUGGAACUUGAUUGCAAUAUAUCUGGUCCGACUAUAAAACAUGGAUUUUUUGACAUAACAAUAACUAAUUUGUUGUCACAAAAUAAUGGUGUGGCUUCUCCUUCUCCCCAAUGUCUUCUAAAAUUCUUCUUAGCCAAAUGACUUGUGAGGUUGCAAUCAAGGUUGACAUAUGUUCAACAUCAGUUGAGGUUGACCAACUAUUUGUUGCUUCGUGGAUAGCAAGAAAAAUACUCUCGAACCAAGUGAAAAUGCAUAACCGAAGGUGCUCUUCAUAUCAUCAACACAACCUCCCAAUCACUAUCACAAAAACCAUUUAACUUCACUUCUAAAUUCUUCUCAAAUCUGAUCCCAAAAUUUAUAGUCCCCAUUUUAUAUUCCAAAACUCUCUUUCCAACACCAAAAUGCUUAUGUGAUAGACUAUUCAUGUACCUUGAAAGUAAACCUCUGGCAUACAUAAGAUCCGGUCUUAUAGCGGUAAGAUAAAGCAAGUUUUCAAUCAAGCUUCUAUAAGGAGUUUUAUCCAAUUUCUUCUCCAUCAUCCUUCAUCAAUUUCUCGUUGCAAGCAAGUGAAUUUUCAAUACUUCUACAUCCAAACAUUCUGGAAUUUUUUAAGCAUACUUCAUUUGAGAAAUAAACACUCAAUUUCCAUAUUGAUAUAUUUCCAUACCAAGAAAAUAAUGUACCAGCCCCAAAUCAUUCAAUUCAUAUCUUUUCAUCAUGUCAACUUUAAAUUCUUCAAUUAUUUUUGUAUUUUUUUUUGUAAACAUCAAAUCAUCAAUCAAUGUUACCUUGAUGUUUCAUGUACAAGGUUGAUGGUAAGUGUGUUUUUACACACUUAUUAGGCACUUUAAUGAGCUAAUUAUUGAUGUAAUUGAGUAGAUUCCUAUUCAUAAUUGUGUAAUUAUCGUGUUUGUAGGCUAAAAUUCCAAAUUGAAAGAGAAAAAGGCUAAAGGAAGGAAAAAUGACCCAAAAAUGGACAAAAGUAUGACUAUGGGGACUAAAAUGUACAAGUCAGAAAGUUCAAGGACUCAACACUACACCAAAAAAGGCUUUUGCAACGGUCUUUAGACCUUUUGCAGCGUUUUAGCGUGUGUUGCGAAGGUUGAUGUUGCCAUUAAGGAGAGAGUUUUUGCAACGUUGCAAAAGUCAAUUUUUUGCAACGUUGUAGAUUGACUUUUGCAGCCUUUAAACAACGUUGCAAAAGUCUAGCUUUUGAAACGUUGAUCAAAAUUGAAAAUGACACUUUGUGAACAAGUUUUGGAAUUGCAAAAAAAUUGAUAAUUUCAUUGCAAAUUUUUGAAUCAAUACACUUGAACAUUAGAGCGUGAUACAACACCACCUAAUAAAAAGGAGUUGGAGUUAAAGAGUUUCUGUUGCAUCCACUAUAUAGCUCGAAACUACAAUAAACUAUCCAAAGAUCAAUACUUCUUUUGUUCCUUUCUCACAGUCCCUAUGCCUCUGCUGCCGGUCUUCAUUGCUUCCAGCACCUAUAAAAUGGCAAUUACUCGCAUUAAAAUAGCCACUUCACUACAGAUUGACAAGGCAAUUACAACACAAUACAAAUUACAUGCAUGAAAUCUCAUUGUCAUUUAGAGCUAUGCUUAUGUUAAUGAAAUAUGGGAAUGGUGUUUAUGUAAAGCAUUCUGUGCUAAUGAGUAAAAAUUCAGAAAAAUGACAGAUAAUAAAAAAUGCAAACAUCUCAAACCAAAUAACAUCUAGAACCUACAAUCACCAACAAGCAAAAUACUAACUCCUAACUUCAGAAGUAACUAAUAGUCGAUCACUAACAUGAAAAAUAUGAACCGAUUUAUGAGGUUUCCUCCCAAAAUUUAAUCAGUGACCAUUUCUUUGCUGAAUGUUAUAGACAUCAAAAAUAUGUAUUCUGUUGUGAUAUGGCAAUGUUGAAAAACUAAUUAUAGUGGUGUUACUCUAGAAACUAAGAAAUAAGGAUGAGGGAAGAAAGAAGUAAAUCUACUUACUAAUGAAUCUAAAUUCCACUAAGAAGCUAGAAAGCUUUCAAUUAAUAAGAAACACUAAUGUAGCAACUCUACCAUAAAUGACAUAAUUGACAAUGCUUCAAGAAAGAAAAUAUCCAAACUUCUUAGAUCCCACGUCUUAAUUUCAAUGUUUAGCAACUAUGGUUAAUGCAGAUUCCGGUAUGAUGAACCUACACAAAAAAUGCCUUGUGGAUGCUAGAAUAACUACCAGUCUACCAUACAGGGCCUCUACAAUGUAUAAGUCAGAAAGUUCAAGGACUUAAUUAGUUUCAAAUUAUGAAGGACUUGAUUGAAAAAGAAUUCAAAAUUCAAGGACUAAAUUAGAUGAAACCAAAGUUGGAGGUCUUGAUGUGCAAUUCUUUUGAGACCAAACUGAAGAGAAGGAAAAAAGGCUAAGGAGUGUGCCUAAGCUCCCAAUUUUGGACAACUGAGAGCAACCAAAGGACUAAGGUGCGCACCUCAUUUUGUAUUAGGCACGUGUCUUAGGCUGAAAAUCAAGACCCCUGUGCACAUUUUAAUUUUUUAAGGGCUCUUCUUGUAAUUUGGCUGGAACCAUUUUUAUUCUUUUUAAACACCCUUUCUCACCAUUCUAUCUUCAUCUUGAACAAACCUUAGCCUAGAGGAGAUAAAGAAGAAUUGGAGAAAGGAGAAGAUUCAAACUAAGAUUUUGGAGUUCAAGGAAAGAUUUAAGAUUUCAACCCUAUUUUUAUUCAAGAAUACAUUUAAAAAAAUGAUUUCUCCUUUCAUUUUGUAUCUUUUCAUUAGCUCCUUCAUUUUGUAAUGAAUUUCAUCACAUUCUCCGUGUCCUACCCUUACUUGACAAUGGGUUAAGGGUGUAUAGUUGGGAUUUAUUAAUAUCAAUAUAUUUGCCAUUUAAUGAUAAGGUGCCAUUGUUCUUGUGCAUUUUUUUACUAUGUUUACAUUUUCAUCAUUUGUUUGGCCAAUAGAUGAUUGGAUUAGGUGGUUUGUGCAAUUACUGAGAGAUGGUUGUACUUUCUAGACCAAAGUAAUUAAUGUCCUAGGUUGUUUUAGGAUAUAGAGAUAUACUCCUAACCCUAACUGACCCAUUGAGUUAUUUUCACUACAAUUUAAUGCGGCUGGUUGUGUUUUUAUCAACAUAGAGAUAUAGUGGGUAAAGCGAAUCAAUUAAAGUUAGUUUCACUUGAGAGAGGUAACUAACUAAAAUUGGAAAAUUGAGUCUAACAUUGGUAAUUUAUAUUUUUGGUUUGUUGAGAUAUUAAUGAAAUGACGGUAAGGUGAAAUCAUAAAUCCCAACCCAUCUAAAUUUUGGAACCUUUUUCCUUUCAUAACUAUUAAUUAAAUUUAAGCCUACAAGUAUUUUUUUUUAUUUCUAAUUUUCAAGAUUUAAUUGUGUACACCUCUAUCACUAAUUUGAAUCAACUUUCGUGUAAUUGGAAGAAGCACUAUUCGAGGGAUCGACUCGGACUCAAAAAGUUCAUUGUAUUACUUGUAAGCGACCCAUGCACUAUGGUAUGCACUUUUAGCGAACAAAUUUUUGGCGCCGUUGUCGAAAAAUGUUUAAUUCAAUUACAAUCUUUGUUGAUUCUAAUUUUCACAAUUUUACUUUUGGUCUUUUUUUUUUUUUUUUUUUUUUUUUUUUUUUUUUUUUUUUUUUGUAGUUUUUAUAUCUUUAUAGUGAAACUGACUUCUUAAUUUUGGUUUCUCUAGGUCUUUGGUAGUGCAUGCUUCAUUCGAGAAGUUUUGAUCUUUUUGAACUUGAUUCGGAUAUUGAAAGGACUUUCCGAAAAAGGCAAUGAAAACAAAGAGAAUUAAGAUGCUAAGAACUAAUUGAGAUGGCAAACCAAGGGGGUAAUGUGGAACCUAAUGCUCAACCAAAAAAUAUUCCUCGAGGUGGCAUGCCACUAGCUUUUGGUAACCUAGCAGGUAGGGCUCAAGGGCCCAUUGUAAAUGAGGAAGAUAUGCUAUUUGGGGACUUCAUGAACUCACCCGUGUUAGAGAAUGAAUCAAGUAUUGUCUACCCUUCAUAUGGACAUCCAAACUUUCAACUUCAUUCGGAUGUCAUCAGUUUGUUCUCCAACACCAUUCCAUUCUAUGGGAGAAUUGGUGAGAACCCUCAACUCACUUGUUGCACGAAUUAUAGAGAUGUUGGAAUUUUUAAAUAUGAAGGCGUGAAUGUGGAAGCAAUCCGGAUGAGGUUAUUUGUUCAAACUUUGAAGGAUAAGGCAGGGAAUGUGACGCCAGGUAGGAUAGUGAUUAUCCUAUUGGUUUGUUGUAGCAGAUAAUUUGCAAGAAAAGAACGUCAGAAAACGCCCAAAAAAUCAGAGAAAAUACUCUGAAUUCAACUCAAUAUUAUUAAUAAUGCAGGAUCCUCAAAAUUAACCCACAAGCCGGGUUAAAUAGCUGCGAAAUACGAAAUUAUGGAAAAAUUACCAAAAAUGGCAAAAUCUCGAAAUUAUACCAAAAUAAAUUAUUAAGUAAAAGAAGUAAAUUGCCAAAAAUUUGGCUCAAUUCGAGUUUUCUAACAUAUGGAAAAAGAAAAACGAAAUAUUACCAUCAAUAGUAAAAAAUAACUUAAAAUUGAAUUUUGGAAAGGAAAACAGUGGAUUUUGGGCUCGAAAUUGACGUCCACCAAGCAUAGCCGAAAAGAGCUUUUUGGAUUGGGGUCAUAAUAGCGAUUCCGAUAACCGUAGCCAAAGUUAUGGCCAAAUUACCAAAGACGUGUCAAUUCCCCCAAUUAAGGAAAUAAUGGCGAUUCACUUUCCAUCUUUGCGCCGAUCUGCCAUCUCAUGGUAUCUUAGUGUCAUCAUCGUGCUAUCUGACAAAUCAGUAUCACUCGACUCGGAUCUUCCUGCAUCAGAAUGGCUUGAAACUUUAUCGCCCUGAAGUAUAAAUAGUUGGGAGAAACUUGUUCAGAAAUUUACAACCAAAUUCUUUCCACCCACACGAGUAGCCAAACUCAAGCAUGACACAACCACUUCCAACAAUCUGAAUUUGAGAGCUUUCAUGAGGCUUGGGAGAGGUUUAAAGAUAUGCUUCGAAAAUGUCCAAAUCAUGGAAUCACAAGGGGGCAACAAGUGAAUUAUUUUUAUGCCGAGUUAACUCUUUGCCGUUCAGAUGUGGAUUCAUCGUCUAAUGGCUCAAUCAAGAAGAAGAGUAUUCGGAAAGCAUAUGAUCUAUUCAAGGUCAUAAGUGAGCAAAGUGCUAUGUGGCCGGAUAGAGGUUCAAAAGAGGGGUUGGUGAAAUUACCACUAGACGUGGGGUGCAAUUGCUCGAAAUCACGGUGAUACACCCGAAGGCUCAAAUUGACAGGGCACCCAUUGAAGAAGAAGGGGUUGUACAAGAACGUAAUACAAAGGAUGAAGCGACCAAGGAAGAUGAAUCGGAGCCAUCAACAUCAAAGUAUCCAACACCGGUCAAGGCCUAUGUGCCUCCUAUUCCCCUCCUACAAAGGUUCUACAAAUAGACAUUGGAUGCUCAAUUUGGAAAAUUUUUGGAAGUCUUCAAAAAUCUACACAUAAACAUUCUCUUUGCUGAUGCGUUGGCCCAAAUGUCAAGUUAUGCCAAAUUUAUGAAGGAUAUUCUUUCAAACAAAAGGAAACAAUAAGAACAUGAGACAAUGAUGCUAACGAAGGAAUGUAGCGCCAUUUUGUAAAAGAAGCUAUGGCCAUAAAUCAAAGAUCCAGGGAGUUUUAUUAUUCCAUGCACUAUUGGUGAUUUAAAUUUUAGUAAAACUUUAUGUUAUCUUGGUGCUAAAAUUAAUUUGAUGCCUUUGUCUAUUUUCAGGAAGCUGGGAUUGGGAGAAGCUAAGGCCAGCACUGUCUCAUUACAAUUGGCUGAUCGAUCAAUUAAAAUCCUUAGGGUGUCAUUGAGGUCGUGUUAGUCAAGGUGGACAAAUUCAUAUUUUCGGAUGAUUUUAUAAUUCUUGACAUGGGGGACUAUGACAUCCCUAUCAUUUUGGAAUGAUUGUUCCUUGCCACCGGUCGAGCUUUGAUUGAUGUAAAAGAGGGGCAACUCAUUCUAAGAGUCCAAGAUGAACAAGUUACAUUCAAUAUCUUGAAGGCCAUCAAGUAUUCCUCUGAAUCCGAUUCAUACCUUCGAGUGGACGUUGCUAAUCAUAUGGUUGCCGAUUCUUUUUAUGGGCUUUCUAAGGAUCAUCUCGAAACAUGUGUUGUCCAUUCUUCAAAUAUCAAAGAUAAGAUCCUAAAGUUGAGCAUAUGGCACAUUAUUUGAAGGCUAUACCUUCUCGGUCUUACAAGAGGACACCAAAUUUUGAGGACUUGGAAAAGAGCUCUUCACUACCAAUACCAUCUCUUCAACAGGCACCUAUACUUGACUUGAAGCCUCUUCUAUCUCAUUUGAGGUAUGCCUAUUUGGGAGAGUCAUCUACACUUCCAAUUAUCAUUGCUAAUUCCUUAAGUGAUUUGGAAGAAGACAAGUUACUUCGGGUGUUGAGGGAACACAAGGAAGCCAUUGGUUGGACUAUUGCAGAUAUUUGGAGAAUUAGUCCUUCGGGUGUCGAGGGAACACAAGGAAGCCAUUGGUCGGACUAUUGCAGAUAUUUGGAGAAUUAGUCCUUCACUAUGCAUGUAUAAAAUCCUUCUGGAUGAUGAUUUUUAAACCAUUAGUGGAGCAUCAAAGGCGGUUGAAUCCCAACAUGAAAAAAGUGGUAAGAGCCGAGGUAGUAAAGUGGCUUGAUGCGAACAUUAUUUAUCCGAUUUCAGAUAGUGCAUGGGUGAACCUUGUUUAAGUGGUGCUAAAGAAAGAAGGUAUCAUUGUUGUGGAAAAUGAGGAUAAUGAACUUAUGCCUACUAGACCCAUGACCGGUUGGAGGGUAUGCAUUGACUACCACAAGCUUAACAAGGCUACAAGGAAGGAUCACUUUCCCCUUCCUUUUAUUAAUCAAAUGUUUGAGCGGUUAGCGCGGUAUUCUCAUUACUGUUAUUUGGAUGGGUAUUCGGGCUAUAAUCAAAUUCCAAUAGCCCCAAAGGAUUAAGAGAAAAUUACCUUUACAUGCCCAUAUGGUACAUUUACUUAUAGAAGGAUGUCGUUUAGUCUUUACAACGCACCCACCACUUUCUAAAGGUGCUUGAUGGCUAUCUUUUUCGACAUGGUGGAAAAUGUAUUGAAGUUUUUAUGGAUGAUUUCUCAGUGUUUGGAGCCUCAUUUAACGGAUGCCUAAGCAAUUUAUAGAUGGUGUUAAAAAGAUGUAAGGAAACCAAUUCAAUACUUAAUUGAAAAAAAUGCCAUUUCAUUGUCCAAGAAGACAUAGUUCUUGGCCAUCGAAUUUCACAAAAAGGGAUAGAGGUUGACAAGGCAAAAAUCCAAGUCAUUGAGAAAUUACCUCUACCAACCUUGGUGAAGGAGAUAAGGAGUUUUUUGGGACAUGCCAGAUUUUAUAGGAGGUUUAUCAAGGAUUUCUCGGAGAUUGCAAAGCCGCUUUGCUCCUUACUUGAGAAGAACACUCCAUUUGAUUUUUUUCAAGAGUGUAUUUAUACUUUCAACACUCUUAAAGAGAAACUCAUCAUGGCUUCUAUCAUUGUAGCUCUGAAUUUGAAUCUGCCGUUUGAGCUUAUGUGUGAUGUACAUGAUUAUGCCAUUGAGCAAUUUUAGGGUAAACAAGAGAUAAAAUCUUGCACGUUAUCUACUAUGCUAGCCAAACUUUAACCGAUGCUCAACUGAACUAUGCCACUACUGAAUAAGAGAUGCCUGCAGUGGUAUUUGCAUUUGAUAAAUUUCGAUCUUACCUCACUAUGUCGAACGUGAUUGUUUACACAGACCACUCAGUCCUCAAGUAUUUGCUAGCAAAGAGAUGCCACGCCUCGGUAGAUCAGAUGGGUACUUCUUCUACAAGAGUUUGAAUUGGAAAUUUGAGAUAAAAGGGGAUAAAAAAUGUUGUUGCCGAUCAUCUGUCUUGACUUGAGCAAACCGAAGAAGUAGUGGAUGGGGAGAUAAAUGAAGAAUUCUUUGAUAAACAACUCUUGCAAAUUAUGCAUAUUCUACAAACCAUUUAUACACCAUGGUAUGCAACCAUUUGAACUUCCUUGCUAGUGGUAUCACUGUCCUAGAUCUAUCUUACCAACAAAGGAUGAAGUUCUUUGCCGACAUCAAGCAUCAUUUUUAGGAUGAUCCUUUGUUGUUCAAACGGGCCCAGAUCAAAUUAUUCGGAGAUGUGUACCGGAAGAAGAAAUGGAGCAAAUCCUUGAGCAAUGUCAUUCCUCUCCCUAUGGUGGUCACGUUGGUACCAUAAAAACUACAUCAAAGGUACUUCAAUUCAAUUUCUAUUGGCGUACCUUGUUUAAAGAUGCUUACACUCUUGAUUCCAAGUGUGACAAAUGCCAACUCAGUGGUAAUAUCUCCAACCGAAAUGAAAUGCCUUUGAAUUCUAUAUUGGAGGUGGAGGUUUUUUGUGUUUAAGGUUUAAGGUAUUGAUUUUAUGGGACAUUUUCCUCCUUCAUUCUCAAAUCAAUACAUAUUGGUGGUAGUUGAUUGUGUGUCAAAGUGGGUAGAAGUGGUGGCUUUAUCUACUAAUGAUGCUCAAGUGGUAGUAAGCUUUUUAAAGAAAAACAUUUUCUCUCAUUAUGGCACCCCCGAGCUAUCAUUAGUGAUAAAGGUAAACAUUUUUGCAAUCGUCUCUUUGAUUCACUAUUGACCAAAUAUGGAGUAAAGAAUCGUAUGGCCACUCCUUGUCAGCCCCAAACUAGUGGCCAAGUUGAGAUCUCAAAUCGAGAGUUAGAGAGGAUACUUGAAUAGACGAUGAGUGCCUCUAGAAAUGAUUGGUCCAAGAAAUUGGAUGAUGCAUUAUAGGCUUACCUUACCACGUUCAAAACGUUCAUUGGUAUUUCUCCCUAUCGUCUUUUGUUUGAAAAAGCUUGCCACCUCCCAGUAGAACUUGAGCAGUGGCCUUAUUGGGCGAUAAAAGCUUUGAAUUUUGAUGUCAAAUCGAUUGGUGAGAGAAGAUUGCUUCAAUUGAAUGAACUUGAUGAACAAUGCUUUGAUUCAUACGAAAGUGGCCAAAUUUAUAAGGAAAAGACAAAGACAUAGUAUGACCAAAACAUUGUAAAGCGGGACUUCUUUUUUGGGCAACAAGUUCUUCUUUACAAUUCUCGACUCUGAUUGUUUCCUAAACAGCUCCGCUCGAGAUGGUAGGGUCCUAUCACCAUCGCUAAAAUUUUUUCACAUGGAGUGGUUGAACUUCAUCAUGAGGAAAAGGGAAACUUUAAGGCUAACAUACAACGGUUGAAACCAUACUUUGGAGGUGAUUUUUCAAAGGAGAAGUCAUCCAUUCCUCUUGCCAAUCCGGAGUGAACAAGGCCUAUAGUUGAGCUAGGGACUAUAACCAAGCGCUUGUUGGGGGGCAACCCAACUUUCUCAUCCUUACACAUUAUGUUACUUGUGAUUAAUACUUCUGGUUCUUGAUAUAUUGGAAAUUAAGAUAUAUCAAUAAGUUAUGUUAAUAUAAGGCAAGAAAUAGAAUCAAAAAGAAAAAAGUUGUUGAUAAUACUUUUGCAUAUGAUGAAUCAUAUCAUAUUAUGAAUAGUGAGAAACCAAAAUAAAAUGAUGGUAUCAUUCUAAAAUUAGUUUACUAAAGAAACCCGAAGUUUUUGGAUGCGAUCCUAGUAAAAUCAAACUUACAAAGGAUACUUGAGAUUCUUGGAUCUAUGGUCUGAACACCUAAAAGUGUGUACCCAUGUGAAAUGAAAAGGAAAAAAGUAAAGUCAUAAUAUAAAAUGUACGACCCUUUACAUAUUGAAUUUCACGAAAAAUUGUAUAAAUAAAUAAAUUAUCAUGUGAUUGUUAGUGAACAAUGCACGAUAUUUGAUAUUUAUAUAAUAAAUAUGAUUAUAGUCAACUUAUCUUAUAUAAAUUUAAUACUAUCCUUGAAAUAUUUAAUUUGCUUGAAACAUAAUUCAAGUAAUAUUAUCAUGAUAAAUAGUAAAUACGUGAUGUACAUUUUUUUCUUUACCAAUGGUUUGUCCAAUUGAAUUUUUCUGAUAAUGUUUUUAACGAGACAAUUUUUGUAGCAUACUUAAAAGAAUAAAUGCAGUUUUUUUAUUUAUUAAAUUUUCCAUAGUAUUUUUUCUAAUUGCUUUUGAUGAGGUAUAUUUUGUAAUGAAUUUAUCCUCAAAAUAAUAUUUUGAUAUCCCUAUAACAUAAAAGAGGGAGUUUGUUUGUUUACUGUUAAUAGGAAUGCGUGCCUCUACCUCUAGCUCCACCUUUUUUUUUUCGUCAUUUAUAAUUAUUUUUGGAACGUAAAACGACAUCAUAAGAUAAUGUAGGAAAAAAACUUUUUUACUCGCAACACCCAUACAUCUGAGUACAGACACCUCACACAACCAUCAUCUCCAUUCUCUUCUCAGAACUACUAGAUCUUUUUAAUUCACCAGUUUCCCAGAAAAUCGUCCAUACUUCUCCUUCCUUCUCUCUUUUCUUUUUCUUUCUCUCAAGAUUCUCUCCAUAAGCUACGUAAUCUUGCCGGAGCUUUUCGAUUUAGAUUCAAGCCUCUAAGCGGAUGUAGGUAUUCUUGAAGAAUGGGUUUACAAGUGUUUCACUGACGGAGUGUUGAAUGAACUAAUUUUACUGUUUCUUUUUCUCUAUGUUUUGAUUUUGUUGGUUUGUAUUAUCUGUGGUGAAUGAUUUUUGUUUCUUCUUCUUGUUUUUUUUUUUCCGACGAUUGAAUUGAUGAUGCUUUUUGUCCUUCCUUCUCUUUGAAAAAUUGAAAUGAAAUCUUCUUCACUUGACUGAUAGUCAUUUUCUCAUUAGGAUUUAAUGGUGUACACUAAAAUGGGCAAAAUAUGUCUGCAGAACAGGAUGAUCAUGAUGAUUCGAGCUCAAGCAGUGUUUGGCACAAUACAAGUGGGUACAACAGAUGGGUAAAUUUCAUUUUUACAUUUUUUUUCACUCUGACUUAUUUGUUAAAAGUCUUUGAAUUAGAGUGAAAUAAAAGAAAAGUGUAUUAUUUAAAAAAAAAGGAGGAAUAGAGAAAUGGGGAAUGGAGAUAUGGUGAAUCGAGGCUUACGAUGAGGCCCCCAAAGGUUAAUUGAUUUGUUUCUUUCUCAAUUCUUUCAAUUUUAGUACUCUGACAAUGUUAGUUCCCAUCAUAUUUUAGAUUUUGGAAAUAUUCUGAAGAAAGAACAAAAAUAAACCACUAUUGAAUUUUUGAGAUUUCCCAAAAUAAAAUUUUAAAAAAGGUUUGUGUCAGAAGCAAACAAACUCUGAUUAGAAGCCAAUAUCUAGCAGCUUAAUCUGAUGAAGUGCCUGUAUGCAUGUUACCAAGUAGUGUAAUCAUAAAAGUUUACAUAUAAGAAAUUAAUCAAGGUUGAUGAUGAAAAACAACAAUUGCUGGAGAGUUGUAUAGAAAUCUUAUAAUGAUACUUCACAAGCUUCUUUGCCAAAUGAUUCCCAACCAUCGUCACCCUUUUUUCCUCCUGUAAAUAAUCAAUCCAAAAUUUUUACAUUUUUUGAAAACUUAAAUGAUCGAAAGAUAUUGUAGGAUAUGGAGCUGUGUUCAAUUACUAGAAAGUUGCACAUAGAAUUUUGAAAUCUGGGUAUUGCUUUAUUUUGGUGGAGAAAUGGGAAGUUCGAAUGAAAAAAGAGUUACUGCUGUGAUCAAUGAUCAUGAUGGAUGGACCUACAGAAGGUAUGGUUUUUGUUUAAAUUUUUUUAUUCUUUCAUCUUUAAUUAACUAAUUGUGCUAUGUAUGAUUGCAAUGUGGUAUUGAUUAGAAUUUGAUUACUCCUAGAUGAAAUAAUGAGUUCUUUUAUUAUAAUUGAUUAUAACUACUGGAAAUAUUUUAAUUUUAAUUAAUGUUUGGAUUGAAUAAGAUUACCCUUUUCUUAAUAUUAUUAUUGAUACUCGACUUUUGGCGUAUAAAAUUCAGGUAGAGAUGAGGACCUUAUGCUAAUCAGAGUAUUUUAAUUGUUAAGGCUAUACUUCGGUAAAAAUUGGAAUUGAAUCGAACCAGUCCUUUACUUGUCUUUUUAACUCAUUUUGGGACAUGGGAUAUGUGUUCUAUUGGUGGUAUGAAAUCAAACAGUAUUUUUUUUUUUUUUUUAAUUGUUCGAAGUUUAAUGUCAUUAGGAUUUCAUUGCCCUUAAGUUGGUUGUAGUCCAUUUAAGAGAGGUGCAUGUACUUAUAAAGCCUGUGCAUGUAUAAACCAUUGCUAGAUAGCAUUUGAGAUGCCCCAAUAAGUCUAAGCUAUUUGGAAACAAGAUAUCAUUCCGAUUGUGGCUCAAAAUUUCUUCAACUAUGUCUUCAAUUUAUUCAACUCUGGGACCCAUUAUGCCGAAUAUAUAUACUACAGCUUGGAAGUUGAGUGCCUAUGUAGAAAUUCUUAAAUUUUUUUUUCUCAUUUUAUGUUCUCUAGAUGUUUAAGAGAAUUGGUUUGACAAUACAAUUUGGUUUUAGAAUAUAUUCUCACUUCAAACAUAUUUAAUGAUAUAUUCUAAUUAGCCAACAUUGCGAUAGGUGGAAUUCAAAAUUUUGGGCAAUUGACUUUAGAAUUAUGGUCGAACAUAUCCCUGAUUGUAUGAUAGCAGGUGAAAUUUGAAAACCCAAAAUUAACAACUUUCAGUUCAAUGUUGACAAAAAGAGAAAGAAACUCAAGUUCCAACUAUAUAUUAUCUUGCAAUCGGGAAGGAGAAUGAGAGUGGGGGUAGGAGAGAAGAGAGUCAUUCAUGUUGUAGAGGACUCGGUUGCAACAAAAGCAAAGGUUAAUUAUACCCUUAUAACUCUUCUAGUAAAGAGGAAUUUUCUUUGCCUUGAGAAUAAUGAAUUAAUUUGAAAUAAAUAAUUUAGCAUAGUUAUUAGAAGCGAAGUUUCAAUAAUUAGUAAGAUCCUAUGUUAUGCAGCUAAUUUAAGCAAAAUUAAAUGACAAAGAGAUUGAAAGGAUAAGUGUCCAUGAAGAUGGGGAUGGAGUUAAAGCAACAAAAUCGACCUCCCACAUGUUUUGCUAGACUUCUAUGGCUUCUGACACCAGCAACAAUGAUGGAUUUUUUGUUUUUGUAGGGCUAUUGAAGAUUGUUUCUCACCUUAGGUUUGACAUUACUCUAUCCUUUUAGCAUCUUAUUGCUAACAGCAAGUGUAAUUUACUUUUAAGCUCACUCCAACAAUGGUUUAUGCAGAGUUUACCUACUCGGCACCAUAGGAACCCUCUUUCUCUCUCUCUCACACACACUCCCUCUUAUAGUAGUUUUGUAAUGUAAAUAGAAGCUGCUUGAGGCAGAUUAUUUUCUAUAAUUAUUAUGGAGAGCCAUAAUUUUUUGAGCUGGAACUCGAAUUGGAAUAUACUUUGAAAGAUAUAGGAAUUGGAACUCUAUGGAUCAGUUGGUAAGAAAAAGAGAGAGAGAGAGAGAGAGAGAGAGAGAGAGAGAGAGAGAGAGAGAGAGAGAGAGAGAGAAUAUGCUGAGAACAUAGGGUUUCAUCACCAGCAAAAUUAUGAAACUGUUAAAAAGUAAUUGCUUUUACUAUUAGCUUUAUUAUUUCUAGACAAUUCACCAGUUGAAAAUUCAUUUUGUAUUUAUAAUUUAUUCUCUAAUAAUAACCUAACUCAAAAAUUUGAAAAUGUGAAAAAAAUUAAACGGGGCAAAAAGUUGCCUUGUCCCCGCUCCAUUCUGUUGCCAUCCCUACUUGUACAGCUCUCUCAUGUGUGGGGAGUCCAUAGAAAAAAAUAAUAAUAAUAAAAAUUGAUAAGCCUCUUAUUGUGAGGGGACUAUACCAUGCUAUACAUCAAGCACUUUUGAAACUUAUUCCUCGGCUACAUCAUUUCAUUUUUCCUUUUUCUUUUUCCAAUCGCACAAUCUUUCAUAAAAUAAUAUUAUACGUAAAUCAAAAUUUUUUUAUUCUUCUUCAACCACUCAUUUUUUUCAAAAAAAAACAUUAUUCUACCAUUUUCAUUUCAAGAAAUGGGGUAGUAAGAUGAUGAUGUCAGAUGGACCUCAACUUGACAUCAUUCAGUUCAAACUCAUUUCUUUGGUACCUGCCAGCAACUGCAUUAAUGUCACAUUUUCAGUCUCUGCUUAUAGGUAGCCAAUAAAUUUGGUGGCCAUAUCAUGAAAAUAUAUACCUCCCUGAUUGUAGCCAAACGCCUAGUUUCUUGUUCAACUCGACCCAACUGUGCUUGAACUCUCUCCUUAACCUCCAUUUUCUUCUUUUGAAUCUCCUCCUCUUUAGCCCUAAAUGUCAAAAGAGCAGAUUUCAACAUUUCUUCCUCUUCUUUUGUCAUAAUCCCAGUGAAACUCAAACUUCCUGAAAUCUGCCCUGUUUGCAUCAGAGACUGUUGGGUUUCAACUGACCUCUGAUUUUGCAUUAUUUUUUUAUUUUUUUUUUAAAAAAAAAAAAUUUCUCCUCCUCCUUCUUCUUUUCUUUUCUUUUCUUUUAUCUUUUGCUUUUGCUUUUGCUUUGGAAUGACUAAUGAUGAAGGCUCCCACUUUGUUGCGUGUUUGCAGGUCUUAAAAUGGUUAAAAGUUUUCAGGGCAGGUUGGCUUUGGUAAUUCUUUGUGACCCACAGGAGAAGAAAAAUAAUUAAGAAGCCUUUCCUGGUUUGAUAAAGACAGUGUAUGUGUUGCUACUUGAGCAUCAGAAUGAAAUGGUCCAACUGCCAACCACUUCCAACGGAUAGAUUUGCAUUUGGAUAUGUUUAUUGAAAUAUGUUUACUGUUAGCUUUAAUUUUAGAUAUUUGAGUUUUUAUUAUUUCGGUCGAUUUUUAUUAGAAAGUAAUUGUUUUUAGAUAUAUAGGAGUUUUUACUGUAAUGGCAUAAACAACUAUUAAUUAUUAUGUUUCUAAAUUGAGGUUUUAUUUUCGCUUAUGCCCCUUUUGGACGAGCUCACCUUUUCUAUUCACCCAAACUCCUUAAUUUUACAUCUAUGUAUUUUUCUGUACCUGUGCUAUUACAUAGUCAACUACACCAUGUCACGUGCUUUGCACGUGCGUCUUACUCGUAUAUAUAUAACUCCUGAAGAGAUCAACAAAACCUUGUUUUAAUCAUUAUGUUACUACAAUUAUCAUGUUUUAUUCCAUUAGGUUUUCUUGAAAACAUUAACGUAUUAGAUAUCAAUAUUUAAGGCAUUGACAUACAAGAUGUAAAUUGCUUGGUACAAGAAUUGAAAUUAGGGGGAGUAAAUGUACUACUUUUCCUUCAAUCAAGUUUUGUCACAUUGUGUUUUCUUGACAAGGUUUUAAUGAGACAUUAUUUUACUACAUCAAAUUAUUUAUACUCUUUCUUUAUUUGUCGACAUUUUUGUCUCAUCAAGUUUUUUGUCAAACGAGGUUUUAAUGAGAUAGUUAUUGUAUAAAUAGUCAUUCAAGGGAGAAUGUUGUAAAUAUAGUGAAAAACCUAUCGUUCGACCCAACUAACACCUAGAGGGGGGGGUGAAUAGGUGUUCUUGCGGAAUUAAAAACUUUUUGAAUAAUUCAUGCAACAAGUCACACAAAUUAUAAUUUGUUCAGAUUAAUUCACGUGCUUUAUCUACCUAUGUUGGAUUACCAUUGACAAGUAAAUAAAUUAAAGCGGUAAAAACACAAUAAACAUGUUGACGGAGAAACCCAACUGGGUAAAAACUCCGGGCACAAGCCAGUAGAAAUUCAUUAUUGUAGAAACCAACUUACAGCACGCCAGACAUCAUUGACACUCUCAAUUUUCUGACCUCCUUGCUGUAUGAACUCAAGACCCUCCUGGAUUUUGUAGAUCCGUGCUAAAUCCCAGCCUUGUAUAAUUUCUACCUCCCGUGAAUCGCUACGCACUCCUGCUCUUCAAGCAAAUCCUUCCCGGAUCUUCAAACUGAUGAUCGUCUGGAAGUUUAAUUGGAGUUGUGAGACAGGUGUUUUGGUGUUUAUGGAUUUGAUGUUUUUACUCAACAAGCCAAAGAUUGGUAUGAGAACAAUGAAGGAUUUCUUUGGCUUUUGAUCCUUGGAGAGAAUGAUUUGGAUUUUUGGUUGCCAAGGAAUUGAAAGAAUAUUCAAAGUGUUUUCAAUGUGAAUUUUCGGGUUAAUGAACACGAAUCGGACGUUUGGUAUAUAUAGAGGUCGAUAUAUGGUAAUGUGGAGCGUCAAACAUUCACGAGCGUUUAAAAUUAGAAUUGGCUAGGUAACACGGUCGCUCGAGCGAGGUACUGGCGAGCCUCGAGCGACGUACAUUUCGCUCGAGCGAUGGCUCAGCGUGAGUCCAGCGAAGUUGGUUCUGCAAUUGUGGCUCGAGCGAGGUCAGGGCGAGACUCUAGCGAAAUCAAAGCACCGCUUGCAUCUUCGAGGCAUCCCACACAACCCUAGACCUAGCCUAUAAACUUUAGUUAAUUGCAACUCUAGACCCUGAACUAUUGGACAUUGACAAUUUGGUCCUUGGUCACAUAUUUGUCAAUUACAUAUUUUCCUAACAAACUCCCCCUUUGGCAUUCUGUGACAAAAACACAUUUGACAGUCAAGGAUAAAAAACAAAUUGACUUCAAACUACCAAUCUAUUCUAUCACAUCAGCAAUAUCUUGUUGAACUUGUUUCCUGAAAAACAAAACUCAAAUACCACGUGAAAAAGCAUGUGAAAUGGAAACAGUAAAUAUAGACAAGAUAUAAAUCAUAUAUCAUUAACCAGAUUAAGAAGCAAUAAUAAUGUAUGUCUAAAACACCAAAAACAGACAUUAAGAUUGCCAAAACAUCAAAAACUUAAUCUAGUUAUAAAAUGACAUAUAUACAUCAACUUUAUAUCACAGUUAUCAAAAAAUAAUUAUCUGCUCCAAUAUCUAUGCAGCUCCAAUAUCUAUGCAAUCUACUCCAUAUCUCAAUCUACUCCCCCUUUUUGUCACAAAGGGCCAAAGAAAAGCGAAAGCAACAAAAUGAACUAGAAGCAGCAUCUCCAGCACUGGAAGAAUCAGAACCACUCUCAGCACUCGUGCUCUCCUCCAAAUGAUCUCGAAUCCAGCUCAACUGACGCUGAUAGACAGCAAGAGCACGGUGAAACGUAGACAUCUCGGCUGACUGACGUCCGAAACAACACGUAACUGCAUGAUCUUAGCUAUCAUACGAGCCUGGUGCUCGAUUAGUGUAGACAUCUGACCUAUAAGCGUCACCAUGGUGUCAACGGGCAGAGAAGCCACCCCCGGAGUAGAAGUAGAUGUCGAAGCAAACGCAGAGCUAAGAGGCAUAGCAGAAGGAAAAACUGGACGAGGAGGGAGAAACACACGGGAGCCCCCUGUAAGAAUCUCAGUAAUAGGAUCAAAGGGCUCCGAAGGAUCAAAAACAUCAGGGGUCGCAGCCGGAGCGGUAGAGGAAGAUGACAGUACAUGAGAUCGACUCUAAUGAAUGGUUUGCUAUCCAAUCGGACGUCCUAUGCGACAAGUCGAACCCUCCGAAAAAGAGGCACCCAAAGACAACGCAACCCGAUGAAUCAAACAAGCAUAAGGCAACCCGAUCCGACCCCCAGGAGUACGAAAGGAAGCCAGAAUAUUCUGGCACACAAAACUAGAAAAGUCGAUCGAGUCCCCAUGAAGAAGGGCAUACAGAAAACGGGUACGUACCAUAGGUAGAGAAGAGGUAUGGGCAACAGGCCACAGGUUUGUGCACACUAUGCGCAACAAGACCUGACGAUCAGUAGGCAAUGACCCCGUGGCCAUCGCCGUAAGCCCACCGAUAGACGGGGUGUUCAAAAGCGUAGACCGAAUAAGAGUAUCGGCCGGAAUAUAAGCAGGUAAAAUAUAGGGGUACGUCGGAUGGGUAAUCUGAGGUAUACCUAAGGCAUGAACUAUAGCCGAUGGAGUAACUCUAAACAAAUGACCUCUAAGAGUAACCCUAAAGGACGAGCCGUCUAUAUCAUGAAUAUUCGCGUAGAAUUCCUGAACAAGGAGUGGGGGAGGAGGUGAAAGACCAAUAAGAAGGGGCUCCCAACCCCGGGAAACAAAAAUGGCGGCUAUAUCAACAGGAAGUCAGAUAAGAUUACCCCACGCUCCACGAGAACGGGGCGUAAGGAGAACUGAGAAGUGAAGACUUCCUGAACUGUAGCAGAAAUGAAUCUGGAACGACUAUACGACGUCGAACCACUAGCUGGCUGUGCAGAGGAUCGAGAACACUUACGGGCCAUCUGGCAUUCGCAGAGACAAAACUAAUAAGUAAUAUGAAGAAUGCACGUGAUUCGAUGCAAUGUGGAAUGAAACACCACACACACAAAAGAGGCACAAUAGAGAUGCAUCGACAAAUGUGAAUGACCCUAAGCACAAACGAAGUAAGAUGAAGAUAUAGACCAAAAACAUGUGUGAACACACCUAUCAUGGCACGUGAUGACAAAGAACCAACGACGGAAAGGAAAGAAAGAAAUGAGAUGCACAAAAAAAAAAAGGAAACAAAGAGUAAAAUAGGUAAGAAAUUUCAUCGAGCAUGUGGCGUGCAUCACUUUGUCACACAAUUCCAAGCACAUAUGAGAUCCAAUCACCCAUCCAAUCAUAGUCCCUCAAACGAGAAACGACGUACUUUAAAAUGAAACAAACCACACGUCAAACGGAUUAACGGAAUGCAAGAACGAACGAAUUGAAAAUGGAUGAAAAACAUGUAAAUCACAUAGUUCGAAGAAUGAAGAAAUCAACAAUGCAAUGGAAAUCGUGAUGCACAAUGCGGGAAAGAACUCCCAAUGAAACAAGGAAUGUCGAAGCCACUAUUAAUUAAGUAACAAUCAAGCAAGAAUACCAAAGUAAGCCAAACACACGACAAAGAGAAGGAAAACGAAAAAAGAAAAAAAUUACCUCCAUAUGAAGUUUGGCAAAGGAAAUCUGGAAACAAAUAUGUUAUGGACCGUGGAGUGAUAUUAUUAGAGGAAUAUGGGGAUGAAAUAUGGAGGAAAUCACGAAGAAAAACGAAGGAGAAGAGAAAAAGAGAAAAUGCGCGAAAAAAAUGAAACAGGGCCGUUUUAAAAUAGGCCUGUUGCUCGAGCGAGGGUCCAGCGAGACUCGGGCGACAGGCAAACUGCUUUUGUCGCUCGAGCGAAGACCAGGCGAGACUCGAGCGAAAUACCAAAUGUCAAAAAUAGCACCAAAAAUUUGAAUUGUGAGAAAAAUAACAUAAUCUUCAAGAAAUGACGAAAUUAGCCCAAAUCGUGAAAUUUCAAAAAUAAGUGAACUACGUAAUAGUGGAAAAUAAUCCAAAAAAAAUAAUAGCAUGAAAUCACAUAUGCAAUCAAAACCAACAAUAAGCAUAAAAUCACAAACCCGACCUCCAGCAUGUAGUCAAAUCGUUAAUCCACACAUAGUUCAGAAUCCUGUGUAGUAAAGUGUAUACAGAAUAUUACUGUGAAAAGUGCUACGUAGUCCAUGCAAGCUAGACUCAAAACCUUAAAUUAGUGAGAAAGGACACGUGAAAACGACCCGACAACGGUGAAUGUCGACCAAGUGACAGUCAAAUCCAAUUCCACGAGGACCUAUAGCAAAUACUAUGAUUGUCACAAUUUUACUCCCCCUAACUGUAUGAUUCCAAAUUUGUAUUUUUAUCUUUAUUAUUAUUAUUAUUAUUAUUUUUUUUUUUUUCACAAAAGAACCUAAGUGCAAUGCCAUCCCCAUUAGGCAACAUAAAUGACUCCUGUAACGAACUUUGGGCCGGUGACUCCCUAGUCAGACGACCAUAGGGCACCAGGUUAGAAACCCCUCAGGCUUAAUUGUUCGAGUCAAAUAGGCCCCGAAGAUAGCCAUAAGUUCAACAAAGAACAAAAGUAAAACUGGGGAAAGACAAUAUUGAUUAGGUUACACUCGUCCCAGAUCAAGUCAAAUGUACAUACAACCCCAAUCAUAGAAGAACACCAUCCCAAGUCUCACCCAUGCGGUCAAGACUCACUUACAGGACUACAGUGUGUGUUGUGUGAAAAUGAAUGAUGUGCCAUAUACCCAGAACUCCACAUUGAAAAAUGAACAAAGAUGGAUCCUCAGAUUCAUACACAUGUUGAAAAAAUAGAAUUUGAUCUUUAAUGCAAAUGCCAGAAUCAUUACAUAAAUGUUCAAAAAAAAAUUUAUUCUAUUUUAUUUUAUCUGAUUUUUUUUAAAACACACAUAUAACACAUAACAGAAGACUAAACAAAACAAAAGAAAUGCAUCACACACACACAUAUCACACGCAAGAUAUGAAGUGAUGAGGUACAUAUGUGAUGAAUGCAUGAACAUACAUGAAUCCAUGAUCAAAUAGGUGAGCAAACACCAACAGCCGUCCAAAGCGACUCAAACCUCAAUCCAUCUAGUGGUUUCGUAAGUAGAUCAGCCAAUUGAUUAUCAGUAGAGACAUGGUUAAGAGAGACAACAUGUGAUUCAACAAGCUCUCGAAUGAAAUGAUGUCGUAUGUCAAUAUGUUUUGUUCGAGAGUGCUGAAUGGGAUUCUUAGAAAUAUUUAUCGCACUCGUAUUAUCACAGAAAACAGUCAUUGUCCCUUGACUAAUCCCAUAAUCACUAAGCAUUUGUUUCAUCCAGAGAAGCUGAGUACAGCAACUCCCUGCAGCUAUGUAUUCGGCCUCUGCGGUGGAUAAAGAUAUUGAAUUUUGUUUCUUACUUAGCCAGGCUAUGAGAUUGCUACCCAUGUAAAAACAACCCCCAGUCGUACUUUUCAUAUCAUCUGCAUUUCCGGCCCAAUCGGCGUCAGAGUAUCUAGCCAAAUCAAGAUUGGAAUUUCUAGAAUAGAAUAUCCCUAGAUCCACUGUACCACUGAUAUACCUGAUUAUGCGUCUAACAGAGCUUAGGUGUGACUCUUUUGGAUCUGCUUGAAAGCGAGCACACACUCCUACACUAAAGGCAAUGUCAGGCCUAGUAGCUGUGAGAUAGAGAAGACUACCUAUCAUGCUACGAUAUAGGGAAUGAUCUACACUCUUACCAGAAGGAUCACGACCUAACUUUAAGCUAGUACUCAUCGGUGUCCUAGUAUGCUUCUUACUAUCUAACCCAAAUCGCUUAACGAGAUCCUUAUCAUACUUAGACUGUGAGAUAAACAGUCCAUCCUCUGUUUGUCAUACCUGAAGUCCAAGGAAAUAACUUAACUCUCCAACCAUACUCAUCUCGAACUCUCUCUGCAGACACUCAGCAAACUCAAACGCUAAAGACUCAAGAGGAGACCCAAAAAUGAUAUCAUCGACAUAAAUCUGAGCAAUGGUAAAAUUUUCUUCUAUAUGUCUAAUGAAUAAGGUCCUAUCUGCACCACCUCGAGAGAACCCAUGUUCUUCCAGAUAUGAUGUAAGUCUCUCAUACCAAGCUCUAGGAGCUUGCUUCAAACCAUAGAGUGCUUUGUGAAGUUUGUAGACAUAGUGGGGAAAUUUUGGAUCAACAAAUCCCUUAGGUUGUUCCACAUAUACUUCUUCCUGAAGAAGUCCAUUCAAGAAGGCACUCUUAACGUCCAUUUGAUGCAACUUGAAUCCUAAGGUACAUGCAACAGUAAGCAGAAUCCUAAUAGACUCAAGUCGUGCAACGGGGGCAAAAGUCUCAUCAAAAUCAAUCCCCUCAACUUGAGUAUACCCCUGAGCAACUAAUCUCGCCUUAUUCCUAGUUAUAGUACCUUGGUCAUCUGUCUUGUUCUUAAAGAUCCACUUGGUACCAAUAACAUUACAAUUUUCAGGUCUGGGAACUAAGUCCAUGAAAGUCUCUUUAUAAUCGAUGCCUUCUUUCUGUGUAAAGAAUUUUGCGACAAGACGAGCCUUAUACCUCUCUACAUCACCUUUCGAAUCCCUCUUGGUCUUAAAUAUCCAUUUGCAACCAAUGGGUUUCGCACCUUCAGGCAAUGGAACGAGGUCUUAUACGUCAUUGUCCUUCAUGGACUUUAUCUCUUCAUUCAUAGCAUCGAGCCAUUUUUGAGAGUUAGAACUUUCCAUGGCUUGACGGAAGUUGAUCGGAUCAUCUUCCACCAUUCCAAUGUCAACUUCAUGUUCUUGAAGAAAUACGAUGUAAUCAUUCGAAACCGUACUUUUCCUCUCUCUAGUGGAUCUUCUUAAUGGCAUUGGUUCUUGAAGGCGUAGAGUUUGUUCUUCUGGAACAAUUUGUUGAUCUUGAGAGGGAGGUAUGACAUUGUCUUGAUCCAGAGUUGCUUCUUGAACAAUAUCAGGGAUAGAAACAUGAUCAUUGUCAAUGGCAAUUGGAGGAAUUUCAACAUAUUCCUCCUCAAAGACAAAGCCUGUAACCCUUUCUCCCCCCACAAACUCAACAUCCUCAAAGAACCUAGCAUUUUCUGUCUUGAAAAUUGCCUUAGUUGUGGGAUCAUAAAACUUGUAACCCCUGGACCUUUCAGAAUAUCCAAUGAAAUAACAACUGAUGGUCCUUGCGUCCAAUUUCUUUCAUUUGGCUUAUAGGGCAUUGCCUCAGCUAGACACCCCCAAAUAUAUAUAUGCUUCAAACUAGGCUUCUUGCCCGUCCAAAGCUCAUAUGGGGUUUUAUCAGUGGCCUUAGUUGGAACUCUGUUGAGUAUAUAAGCUGCAGUCUUUAGUGCUUCACCCCAGAGAGAUUCUGGUAAGGUAGAAUGACUAAUCAUACUCCUCACCAUGUCCUUAAGCGUUCUGUUUCGUCUUUCAGCAACACCAUUCAUAGUUGGCGAACCCGGCAUAGUGUACUAUGGGACGAUACCGCAUUCCUCUAAGAAUUUAGCAAACGGUCUUGGACGCUGUUCACCUAAACCGUCAUAUCUGCCAUAGUAUUCACCCCCACGGUCAGAUCUGACGCUUUUAAUCCUUUUGCCGAGUUGGUUCUCAAUUUCAGCUUUAUAGUUUUUGAACACAUCCAGUGAUUGUGAUUUUUCAUGAAUGAGAUAUAUGUAGCCAUAUCUUGAAAAGUCGUCUAUGAACGUUAUAAAAUAUUGUUGACCAUUCCAAGAACCCGUAGGGAAUGGUCCACAAAUAUCCGUAUGUAUAAGUUCUAAGACGUCCGAAAUCCUAUUAGCUUGAAAUCUCCUUUUAUUGGUUUGUUUUCCCUUUAUACAGUUGACACACAAAUCAUAAUCUGUGAAGUCAAGAGGGUCGAGAAUCCCGUCAGACACAAGUCUCUCAAUUCUCUUUUUGGAGAUGUGACCUAAUCUCUUGUGCCACAACAAGGCAGAAUUCUCGUCGUUUAAUUUUCGCUUUACACCUCUAGUACUUACAUGCAAGGUUUCAUUAUAAGAAGUAAUUGUAUCAAUUGAAUAAAGAUUAUUGUAACCUGAUAAAGAACCGGAACCAACCAAUUUUGAAUCAUGAAACAAACUAAAUUUUCCAUUUCCAAAAAAACAAGUAUAACCAAAUUUGUCCAAAAUAGAAAUAGAAAUCAAAUUCCGUCUAAAAGACGGUACAAUAAAUGUCUCAAUAAGAUCUAAAUAAAAUUCAGUCUUUAACAAUAAUCUAAAUUUUCCUAUUGCCUCUACUUCCAUUCUAUUGCCGUCGCCAGCAUAGAUGUAUCUUUCACCAUCACUUGGUUUUCGGCAACUCAGGCAACUCUGCAUAGACAUACUGAUGUGAGUUGUUGCACCAGAAUCUAUCCACCAUGUAUGUCUAGGUACCGAAGUUAAAUUAACCUCAAAACAAACCAAAUGAAGAAGAGUACCUUUCUUUACACGCCAUGCGUGGUAAUUGGUUCCUUAUGCAGCUCCACAGAAGAAACAACCACCUUCAGUUGGUUCCUUAUGCUGUUUCUUUUGCGGUGCCGUACCUGCAGCUUUCUUAUUAAUCUUCCUUUUCUUGUUGCUUUUGUCCUUAGAAGUGGUGGCUAAAUAAGCAAUUUCUGUCUUUUCAUGCUUCAGUCUUUCCUCUUCCUGGACACAGUGUGAGAUGAGCUCAUUAAGGGACCAUGAGUCCUUUUGACAGUUAUAGCUCACCUUGAAUUGACUGAAAUGUACCUGAAGGGAUAUCAGAACCAAGUGCACUAACAAGUCUUUAGAUAAAUCCAACUUGAGUGCCUUUAGUUUUGAAGCAAUGUGAGACAUUUUCAUAAUGUACUCCCAAAUGUUUCCUUUCCCUUUAUACCUCAUUGAGACAAGAUUUACCAAAAGUGUACUUGUUUCUGCCUUUUCAUUUUUGGCAAACCUCUUCUCAAGGUCCUCAAGGAAACCCUUAGCCGUAGUCACCUUAUCGGAUAUAGUGCCCCGGAAUGCUUCUGGAAUAGAACGCUUCAUGACCAUUAAGCUUAUGUGGUUCGAUUGUUCCCACUUUUCCAUCUCCCUCUUGUCAUCAGAGGUACUCUUAUCAGUAAGUGCAGCAGGUUGAUCGACCCGUAAAGCAAGGUCUAGGUCCAUGACUCCGAGAACAAUCAUAACGUUCUCUUGCCAUGCCCUGAAGUUUGUACCAUUUAACAUUGGAAUUGAAUUGAUGCUAGCAGAAAUAUUAGCAGCAGAACCUCAAAUUGAAUUAGAGAACAUUUAUUAUGAAUAGCUCACAUGAAUAUCUUUAAUAUGCAAAUAAUAAUAAUAAUAAUAAUCUCAAAUAGUGGUAGGGCCCAUCACAAGAUACUAAGCACAACAUUAAUAUCCAGUCUUUGGACGGAGAUAUUGACUUGUAAGCGGUACUCUUGGCGUAGUGAUCAAACAUUGACGAUAAAACAACGUAUCAAUCAAUAAACCUUUCUUUGGACCGAUUUAUUGAUCACACAUUAAACCAAAUAAUCGUCACACGUUUAUCACCACAGGUGCAUGUGUAUUCGGCUAAAUAUUGACCUUUCUUUGGGCCGACCAAUAUUCCUAUGAAUAACACGUGCACAAACACUUUUUAACAUUCUAAGUUAGUCAAUUUUCACAAGAGAGGUUGCUUUGGCAACAUGUUGCUUCAAUUAACUAACUUUCGAAUAUUAUAUCUCUUUAAAAGAGUCUUUAAUACCAAAAUUUGAGAAAGAGAAUCACCAAUUUUGCAUAUUUUGUUUAGUUUUAAACUUUAGGGGCCUUAGGAUUAAUAAUUCAAAACUUUAAGGGGGCAAAAUUAAUUAAUUUCAAACUUUAGGGGUCGAAAUUAAUAAACUUAAAACUUUAUGGAUAAUAAUUAAUUAAUUCAAUACUUUAGAGGAUCAAUUAGAACAAUUUUAAAACUUCAGGGGCCAAAAUUGACCAAUUCAAAACUUUAGGGAUCAAUUUGAAUUAAUUGUGAACUUGGGGGCCAAUUUGAAUUAAUAAUUAAAUUUUGAAUUCUUUAAUUAUAAUUUCAGAACUUUGAUGGCCCGAAUUAAUUAAUUUUAAAACUUUAGGGACUGAAUUAUUAAAUUCGAAACUUAAAGGCCCAAAUCUCAAUAUAACUUAAAGGUUAGGGACUGAAAACUUAAUUUUAUAACCCUAACCCUAAUUGCAACUAAGGACCUCAAUUCUUCUAAUUUACAGGAGAGGCCCCCGCCUCCAAAAAUCAAAAACUGAAAAAACCUAAAAAAAAAAAAAAAUUUCUCUUUCUUUCCUUCUGGCGGCGACGCACUCUGGCGCCGCUCGGACUAACGUCGCUGGCAUGAGCCGGCUCCUGUAGCACACCCAGCGCUACUGUGAGUGCAGCAGCGCCUACUGCGCGCUUCUGCCUGCGCAGCGCACAGCGCUCCGACUGCCGCUGUCCGACUAAAUUUUUUUUUUUAAUCUGAAUCUCAAAAAUUUCGAAUUCCAAAUCUGAAUUUUCUAAACUAAUUAAUCCGAACGAAAAUAACAAGAAUUAUACCGCAAAAAUUUUCACAUUUAACAAAAUAUAUAACCAAAAAUUGUUAAAUCUGAAAAUUUCAAAAUAUAUUGCAAGAACCAAAUUAAAACCUUUGAUUCUCAAUGAUUCAACAUGAAGAGGCUCUAAUACCACUUGUUGGAUAAUUUAAUGCUUUAAAUUAUUGGAUCUUUCAUGUUAAAUCAUCGAGAAAUAUAAGAAUUAAAGCGGAAGCAUACCUGAAUCUGACAUGGUUAAUGCAAUAUGAAUUUCGCGGUAUGAUCUUCCAAAUCUACAUGCAGUCUCCUUUUCCUCUCUGUGAUAGGAUGCAGUAGAAAAUGAAUAAUACGUUGCAUGUGAUCUGGGGACCAUAACCUAUUUAUAUAGGGAUGCCCUUUGACCUAAUUUGGCCCACCAUAGAAUUAGGACUUGGGCCCAGUCUCUACACAUAUGUAAACCCAUACUUUAAUUUGAUACAUUAAAGUCCAAAAUCGAAACUUUAUUAGAUCACUUUAAUUGGGCUCAACCGAAUUCGAUAGCCUAUAAUUUAACACACAAUUAUUUACACAUAUAAGCCCAUCUUUAAUUAAAAAUUCUUACACGUAUUCAACCUAAAAAGCUCAAUUUGACUAUUUCUUGACCAAAUUUUAAAGGGCAAAAUUAUAAUUUUAUAUUUCUUCAAUAAAUUAAAAAAAAUACUAAGUAAAUAAAAUAGGAUUUUAACUAUUCAUCUUCUUCACAGAGCUCUCACCCAGCCCAGACCACCAAAGGAUUUUAUGUUUACUUGUAUGACCAUAAAAAUGAGUAAAUACAUGUUCUCAUUAUAUCUGAACAACACAAUCCAUACAAAGCUCUCAUUAUAUCUGAACAACACAAUCCAUACAAAGUUCGCACUAUAAUGAUCAACAUUUGUGUCUCAUGAGUAACUUCAGUAGGAACGAUGUUAACUCAAAUUCUAUUAAAUUCCUCCAGAUGAUAUAACAAACUAUGUAUCUAAUCUUGGUUAUACUCGUUCAAAUCUUCUACAACUUUUCAAAAUAUUAUUGAUGAGUUAUAGAGGCAAAUGAGAGCUCAUGCUCUAAAAUUGCAUGCAACCAUUUUAAAUUAUUGUCGUUUUACCUAAUACCAUGUGCAUUUGGCUUAUAUUAUCUCAUGUGAUCAUAAAAAUGAAUGAAGACACAUUCUAACUACCUUUUGACAUCACGAUUGAUACAAAGUUCGCCUAUGAUGACCAACAUGUGAGCCUCAUAAGUAAUUUCACUACACUAGGAAUCACGAUUGAUACAAAGUUCACCUAUAAUGACCAACAUGUGAGUCUCAUAAGUAAUUUCACUACACUAGGAAUGAAGUGAACUAAUAUUCUAGUAAUCCCUCUAGAUGAGAUAACAAAACUUAGCACCUUAUCUAAACUCAUCUAGAUGGCCGGUAAUGUUUGGAGUGAAAUCAGUAUUUCUUGUACAAAAAACACAUUUUUCCUUUUUUUUAACGGUCAGAUGCUGCUUUCACCAAAAUUACUUCUUUUUGUUUUUAUAUCCACUCUAAUGACAAUCAAAGUCAUAGAAAUAUAUUCAUAUUACAUAUAGAGACCAUAUAUGAUUCAAAGUUGUUAUGAACUUAGAGAUCAAUAUAGUGACAAGUGAGUAAGUAUUCCUGCCCUAACUAUGAAGUUAACUCAAACUUAAUUUAAUUCAUUAAUACAAAAAGUGUCAUUUUCACCAAUUUCACUAACUCUUUUAACAUUGUAACAAAAUAAUAAUGCGUCUUUAAAGAUGAAUUAAUAGAAAAUAAUGUUAUAGAUAAAAAAUUAUUGUUAACAAAUUAAACAACCCAUAAUAUUUUAUAACACCAAACAAGCAAUACCUCGUUCGCCUAAUCCUAGCAUGGAUAUUAAUAUAACGCAUUGCCCCCCGGUGCAUAGUCCAGUGGUGCAAAGGACAUGAGUGAAGUUAUCUCACGUCUUGCUGGUAGCUACAGUGUGGGGGUUCGAUUCCUGAGACAUGGAAUUGGACUCUUAUAGGCGCAGUGUACAGACAGCUCUUGUUCCCUGGCCUGCUGAGGCACAUCCUGCGAUUUACCUCCCUCACAAAGCUCUGGGGCGGGGCGGUGGGAGCCCUCAAGGUUGGGGUUCAACCUUUUUUUUUUUUUAAUAUAACGCAUGGAUUUAAAAUGUUGAAAUGAUGUUUUGAUACCUUGUGGAGCAACUAUGCAAACCAGGUAUUACAGAGGCUAGGUCUGACAUAGAGUAUGAGUCUCUAAAAGAUAGGAAACUUGAUAAAGCUAUGAUGUAGAGGUGAGGUUCUAGGCUAGAGGACGAGGCUCAAAAAGAUAGGAAACUUGAUGAAGCUGUGAUGUAGAGGCGAUGUCGUACCAUGGAAGAUGGGGAUCUGAAGGUAGGCAACUUGACGAAGAUGUAAGGCAAAGGCGAUGUGGCGUGAAAAAUGGAAUGUUGUAGCGUAGGUGAUUUGAAACCCUGAGAUGACCAGACAUUGAUUGAAAGGUGUUGUGUGUUUUCAAGAAAAUAAAUCGAGGCUCACGUGCAAGUUCAAGGCCAUGUGACCAGACAUAUAUUUAAGAUAUACUGCUUCAUCUAGACCUUUGCCUCAUCCGAACCUUUGAUUAGCUUUAAUCUUUCAUUUGAAUUGCUUGAAUGAGCUGAUGAAUGGAUGGCUAAGAUCAAUUUUGAUUUUAUCCAACAGUUGAAGUGCACAGGCCUUUCCCUUUCAUUUGCAAUUUCUUUACUCUACAAAAAAUUCAAAAUCGUAAUUUCAGCAAGAAAUUUCAAUUUUCUAACGACAUUCAUCAUCUUUAGUAGGUCUCUUACUAUAAAAGCCUUUUUCUAGUUAAAUUUGUUGGAAAAAUGAGUUGAGUAGCUGAAUUUGGUAGAAAAUUUGUGUGGGACCCGAUUGUUUAUUUUUGAAGAUCAAGAUUGAUUUGUGUUCUCCUUCGUGAGAACAUUAAAAUUAUAUAUUUACUUGUCAAAAUGAUGUUCGGGUAAAUGAGAAAUUGAAGCUCAAAGUAUACCAAUUGAAAGGAGUUUAUAUGUUGGAGAGAAACCAAUUAAGGUUUGUCCCACAUAGGAAAGUAAUGAAGGCAAAUACCACCUAUAUAGGAUUACACUUUGAAAGAGUGUAAUCAUGAGUAGUAUAGAGACUCUCUCCACGUGCAUGCGCAAGAGGGUGCAAAUCAUGGACCGAAAUAUGUUUCGGACCUUGAACUUGUGUGCGAGCUUGGCCUGGACACAUGAAUGUCGGACCGAAAGGACUGUAAUUGGCCUCUUUGGAGGGCCUACGUUUUGCUAAUUUUUUUCCUCAAUUGACCUUUUAAAUUUUAAAAUUGUUGAAACUCCAAUAAUUAUUGUCAUUAUAAUACAAGUUAAUGACAUACUUACGAACAUAAUUAACUUUACAUUUAUAGGGGUUAAGUCUAUAUAUGAGAGCACAUUUUUUCACUAUUCCACACAAAAAAAUACAGUUUCUGCAUAGUUUCUUCUAGUCUGCAUACUGCAUAGAUAUACAGUUCCUCGUCUAUUCGGAUUUUUUUUCUGUUUUGAUGAUAUUGUUCCGACACAAGUUCUGUUUGCCUGAGUGGUAUUUGAGAUACUCAAAUUCUACCACUCCUUUGUUGUAUCCUAGGACAGACGUCCGAACUAAAUCUCAAGCAAUUAUAGUGAGGAAGCGAAUCUGUUUUAAGAAAAUUGUGUUCAGAUAGAUCUCGUUUUCAAAUUUUAUUUGAUUUUUUCAUUACUUGCUUUAUUGUCAUUUAGAUUAACUCGUUCUACUUUAUUGUAAUUAACAAAAUUAUUUAAUCCGAAAGGACUCAAAUUGGCCCCUUUAGAGGGCCUACGUUUUGUCAAUUUGUUCUCCAACAGACAUCUUAAAUUUCAAAACUGUUGAAACUCCAAUAAUUAUUGUUAUUAUAAUACAAGUGAAUGGCAUACUUACGGACAUAAUUAACUUACCAUUUAUAGGGGUUAAGUCUGUAUAUGAGAACCCAUUUUUUCACCAUUCUACACAAAAAGCAAUACAGUUUCUGCAUAGUUUCUUUUGGUCUGCAUACUGCAUAGAUAUACAGUUCCUUGUCUAUUUGGAAUUAUUAUUAUUAUUAUUUUGUGAUAUUGUUUUGACUCAAGUUCUGUUUGCCUGAAUGGUAUUUGAGAAACUCAAAUUCUACCAUUCCUUUGUUGUAUCCUAGGAUAGAUGUCCAAACUAAACCUCAAGCACCUAUAGUGAGGGAGCAAAUCUGUUUUAAGAAAAUUGUGUUCACAUAGAUCUCGUUUUCAAAUUUCAUUUGAUUUUUUUUAUUACUUUCUUUAUUGUAAUUUAGAUUAACUUGUUCUACUUUAUUGUAAUUAACAAGAUUAUUUAAUUUGCUAAAUGUUAGCUAAUAUCCGGUAUCUAUGUUCAUUGCAUACUUGGUAUGUGCAAAUUUAGUAUUUCUGUAAACUGCAAAUCCGGUAUAUGUCUAUCCAGUAUUUGUUACAGUCACUAAUAGUUUCUCUAACAAGAUCUUAGUUUCAUUUUUAUUUUCUUCAUCCCUUUUGUUGGUUUUCUUCUUUAAAACAAGCACUAAUGAUGUUUGGGACUAUGAGAGGUUCUUUAGGCGGGAUGAAUGGAGAUGGAUUAGGUAUGGGCACUUCUAGUAUUAGGGAACCAAUUGUCCUCACCUUGAUUGAGAUUUUUUUGCAUCCUUUAGGUCGAGGGUGAAUACUUGGACCACUACUAAAAAAUAGAGUUUCAGGUACGGAUUUUCCGUUCCUAAAGCCUCAAUAUCCGUUGCUAAUAAUAUUCACCAAUGGAAUAUUUACAACCACAGAUCCAUUGGUAAUUUGAGGGUCGCUGAUAGUUACCAAUGGAUCAUGUCGUAGGUAAAGAGUAAACAUUUUACCAACGGAUUUUUCGUUGGUAAAGUGUGAAUCUUUUACUAAAUGAAUUUUCGUUGGUAAAAGUCUUAACCAAUACCAACCGACUUUCCGUUGGUAAAUGUCUACCAUUACAAUUGGUAAAAAUCAAUGUUGUAAAUAACCAUAUGGUAAAAAAAUUAUUUAUUUAUUUUUUAUUAUUGUUAUUAUUAUUAUUAUUAUUUAUUUAUUUAAUAAUUAUAAUUUUUAUUUUUUUUGCCAACUGAAUUGAAAGGUCAAAAUAUUGUUUAACUCUUUAUUGGACCACAAAUUUAUAGAGGGCAAAUACAAAGAUAUUGUUGUAAACUUCCGAUGUGGGAUAAGUGAAUUAUUUUACCAACAGAUAAUUCAUUUCUAAUUACCAACAGAAUAUCCGUUGCUGAAAGAUCAAAUUGUUAAACAGUUAUAUUAGGCACGAAAUAUCCGUUAGUAAAGAGAUAUCAUUUUUACUAACGGAUAAUCCGUUUCUAAUUACCAACGGAAUAUCCGUAGGUAAAAGAUCAAAAUGUUAAAUGAUUAUAUUAGGUACGGAAUAUCCGUUGGUACAAAGAUAUCAUCUUUACCAACGGAAAAUCCGUUGCUAAUUAUCGUAGUUAAAAGUGAAUUACUUUUACCAACAGAUAAUCCGUUUCUAAUUACCAACGGAAUAUCCGUAGGUAAAAGAUCAAAAUGUUAAAUGAUUAUAUUAGGUACGGAAUAUCCGUUGGUACAAAGAUAUCAUCUUUACCAACGAAAAAUUCGUUUCUGAUUAUUGUAGCUAAAAGUAAAUUAAUUUUACCAACGGAUUAUCCAUUUCUAAUUACCAACGGAUGCAAUCCGUUGGUAAUAAUAUCCGUUGGAGGAAGAGCCAAAUGUUAAAUGAUUACAUUAGGCACGGAAUAUCGGUUGGUAAAGAGAUAUCAUCUUACCAACGGAAAAUUCGUUGCUAAUUGUCGUAGCUAAAAGCGAAUUACUUUUACCAACAGAUAAUCCAUUUCUAAUCACCAACGGAUGCAAUUUGUUGGUAAUUUUUCGUAGGUGAAAAACUGUAUUUUAGUAGUGGACACUUUCCAUCGAGCCUAUAAACACCUCAAUUAAAUGAAAAUCCUCAAAAUUUCCUUCUACCAUGACUCCAGCCAAAAUUUAGACCAUUAAGGAACAGUUUAGAAUAUCUGAUAGCAUAUGGUUAAUUGUCCUCGAGAUUUAUGAACUAACAUAUUAUUCGAGGCUAGGGUACGUAGCUAUUAGCGAGGCCAUUCUAAAAGUCGCCCUUAGUUUACCUAUCCAUCGACCAUACUCAACUCGAACUCCUGGAGUCAAAUUGUUGGAUGGUGGAUGCUUUGGCACGAGGCGAUGCUAGUGAUGACAUGCCGUUCAAUGUCUUCCAACCGUCUACAAUCCUAAAGCCACUAACUUCUUGGAGGAUGCAGACCCCCUUUUUGUUUUAGGUCUUUCAUCCUCCAUUGAAGGGUAGAAAGAGUCUUGGUUUUGGAUCUCAAGUUAUUGGGAUAUAAUGGAAGGAGAUCGUACGACGUCUUUCACCAUCUCCACAACCUACUCCACACCUAGUUAGUCUUCAGAUUUGCAAGCUAUGCCUUAUUGUUUUCAUUUCUUAUACUUAACAUUUUUCUCCUUUGUUUGGAGGUACAUUGCCUCAGUUUGCAAUUUCAGAGGAACAUUGGAAUACUGUCUCCAUCAUGUGAAUAAAAAGAAAAUGACUGGGGCAUUUGGCUUCUUCUUUGGCCCCACUUUUUAGUUAGGGCACCUCCCCAACCUCUACCAUAGUGCCCCUUAGGGUAAGAUUAUCUGCAUUAGCUCCUCCUACUCAAAUUACUCCAUAGAAAUCGAAGGUAAAUGAGGCUACACCUCCCAAGUUGUAAGGAAAAAGACCUGCUAGCCCACCUUAGAGCAAAAAAGUCAAUAAUAUUGCGUAAUUAGUUUCUAUUUCAAAACUAGCACCGUUAGGUUUAAAAUUUGCAUUUGAAAAUAGAAGUUUUAGUUUAUUUCAAAAUUCAGUUAUUGUUGGAGAUGAUGUUUUAGUUGGUACUUUAUACAAACUUGAUUUGGAUCCCACUUAUGAAUGUAUCUUUUUCAACCUGAAUAGUAGUAAUAUUGACAAUAAACGUUGUAUGAUAAGAAGAAUUCAUCUGAAGUAUGGUAUAAAAGAUCGGGACAUAUCUCUAUAGAGACCUCAAAAGAUAAGUAAAUGAUGGAAUUUUACCGACUCCUGACUUUGCUGAUUCUGAAACUUGUAUUGAUUGUAUAAAGGGAAAGCUGACAAACAAGGCCACUAAUAGUGCCAAAAAUAGUUCAAACAUUCUUGAGAUUAUUCAAAUAGAUAUUUGUAGACAUUUUUUCACUCCUCGUCUAAAUGGUCAGAGAUAUUUUAUUGUAUUUAUAGACGACCAUUCAAGAUAUAUGUAUCUCUAUCUUCUAAAUCAUAUGGAUGAUGCACUAGAUGCCUUGAAGGUUUAUAACAUAGAAGCAAAGAAACAAAAUGAAAGAAAAUUUAAAAUUAUAAGUUCAGAGAGGGUGGAGAAUAUUAUGGACAGUACAAAAAUAAAGUGACAAAUGCCAACUCCAUUUGCUAAAUUUUAUACAACAAUAGAGGAUGUUAGGUACGCUGCAACAAAAAUGAUGUAGCCGAAAGAAAUUAAAAAAUAAAUAAAUAAUGGACAUGAUUAUGAGCAUGAUGAGACAUUCAACUCUAGUUAUAUUUAUUGAGUGAAGCAUUGUAAAUUGUCGUGUAUAUCUUAAAUAGAUUUCUAUCUGAGGCAAUUCCUAAAACACCAUUGGUAAGUUGGAACAAAUGAAAACCUAGUUUGAGAUAUAUAUAAAUCUGGGGUUGUCUGGUUGAAGUGGGGGUCCAUAAUCCUCACAUAAAGAAAUUGAACCCGUUGACAGUUGGUGGAUAUUUCAUAGGCUAUCUAGUGAACCCUAAAUGCUAUAGAUUCUAUUGUCCUUCGCACACUCCAAAAAUAGUCAAAGCUAGAAAUGUAAAGUUUCUAGAAUAUCACGUUGUGAGUGUGAGUGCGUUUUCUAUAAAUAUUGCUUUUCAAGAAAUUAGCGAAUUUGUUAGGUCAUUUUCCAAUCAUGGUAUAUUGAUUCUUACAAAAUAAAGCACUCAUGUAAAACUGGAAAAUGAAUCAACUAAAGAACAAUCAUUACUACAUGAGAAAAACACUGAACGAGAAUCACCACUCAAUGUAGAACAUGCAAAAGCUAUUACUAUUCAGAAUAUGCAAAAUCAAAAUAAUGUGGUAGGUAUAAAGAUAUCCUCAAGAAUAAGAAAAUUAGUAAUCUAUAGUUAUUAUGUCGAAUAUCUUCAAGAGUCCAAUAAUAUGUUGGACAGUACAAUGAUCCUAGCUCAUUAUCACAAGUUGUUGAAGGAAAAAACUCAAUCUUUUGUAUGAUGCCAUGAAGGAAUAGAUAAAAUCUAUAGCUAAAAAGCAUGUUUGGGAUCUCGUUGAUUUGUCAAAUGAACUUACAACCGUUGGUUGUAUAUGGGUCUAUAAGACCAAAAGAAAUGCAUCUGGCGCUAUACAACAGUAUAAAACUAGACUUGUAGCAAAUGUUUCACUCAAACGGAAGGAAUUGAUUACCAUAAAACAUUUUCUUCAACUUCUAAAAAAGAUUUGUUUACAAUUUUAAUAGUUUUAGUAGCUCAUUUUGAUCUAAAGCUACAUCAGAUGGACAUGAAAUUAACAUUCUUGAAUGAUGAUCUUAAAGAAGAGAUACAAAUGAAACAACAUGGAGGCUUUAAUAGCGAUGAAGGAAUCAAAUGAUUUACAAAUUAAGAAAAUCUAUAUAGGACCUAAAACAGGCAUCCCAUAAGUAGUGCUUGAAGUUAACCAUUUUGUUACUUCAGAUGGUUUUACAGAAAAUAUCAUUGACCAAUGCAUGUAUCUCAAAGUUAGUGGGAGUACAUACAUUUUUACACUCCUAUAUGUAGAAGACAUUUUACUUGCAAGCAGUGAUAUCGAUUUGCUAUAUGACACAAAACAGUUUGUUAGCCAAAAUUUUGAAAUGAAUGGUAUGGGUAAAGCCUCUUAUAUCAUUAACAUAGAGAUUCAUAGAGAUAUGUCUAAAUGGUCAUUAAGAUUGUCUCAUAAAGUAUACAAUGAAAAGAUUUUGAAAAGAUAGGGGAUAAAGGAUCGUGUAUCAUGUUGUUAAAAGUGAUAAAUUAAACCAAAAAUAGUGUACAUUAAAUGAAUUGGAAAGAGAGUACAUUGCUUCUAUACCCAAUGCUUCCACUGUCGGUAGCUUGAUGUAUGUACAAGUUUGUAAUAGACAUGACAUUAUAUUUGCAGUUGCUAUAAGGAUAGAUAUCAAAGUAAUCUAGGUAUAGAGCAAUAGAGAGCUGCCAAGAAAGUGAAAAGGUAUCUUCAAAGAACCAAAGACUAAAUUUUGUUGAAUGUGUAGACACAAGAUAGUCUAUUUUUCUUUUAGAUGGAGGAGAUGUAUCUUGGAGAAGCCUGAUUGCUACCCUCCUUCACAGCAUCACAACUUGAGACAAUUUGAGCCAGAAGUUCUUCAAUAAAUAUUUCCCACAAAAAAUGAUUGCCAAGUUUAGAGAUGAGAUCACUACAUUCUCACAACUUAAUUCAGAGUGCCAUUAUGAGGUAUGAAAACAAUAAAAAUGUUUGCUUCGAAAAUGUCCACAAAAAGGGUUGCAAAAAUGGCUAUAACUCUAGCACUUUUAAAAUAUCCUGACUCCGACUAGUACGAUAACGUUGACUUUGCAUGUGAUGGAUCAAUUAAAAGAAAGAUAGUGGAUCAGGUAUAUCAAAUCAGGGAAGAUCUAGCAUAUGCCAAUGCUCUAUGGUCAGCAGAAAGAUCGGGUGGAAAAAGAGCUACAAGAAUGCAUAAGGUUGACUCAAUGUUUGCCAUGGGCAGAUUUAGGGAUGAGCUGUACUUUGCUGCAUCCUACUGUUGCCCAGGCCCAAUACACUUUUUUUUUUUUUUUUUGCCUUAUGUUAAUUGUAAUCGGUUUGCCCACCAAUUAUUAAUUUCAAUGUGCUAGCCCACCUGCAAUUCCUCAAAUGAUUUUUUUGUUUCGAUCUUUGGCCCACUUAUUUAUAUAAUUUUAGGCCCAAUUUUUUACCACAAACUUAUUUAAUUUUUAUCAAUAGAUUCAAUACCCAUUUUUUCCCAUCUUUCUUCACGUAAUCACGUUUCCUUGCAAAACCAAUUGGAAUAAUUUUUUCAACUUUGGGGUUUAUUUUUGUUAUUCAAAAAAUGGGUUCUUAGUUUUUUGGGAUUUUAUUGUUUAAUUGGUUUGUAGGUGAGUCAUACCGUGCUACUUGCUAAGAAGAGGAUUCAAAAGCUGUUAAACUAGUUGAGGAGGUUCAAGGUUGGUUUCCUGAUUUUGGAUGAAAAAUCUCAAUUCAUAGCAAACAAUAAAUUGGUUUAAAGAUUUUAACUUACUAGUUAUUGCUACAAAACAUAAAGUAACUACUUUUUUGCAACACAUUUUGAUUCUCGAUAUAUUUAAUAUCAUCAAGUCAUUCUGGAGUGAUAGCGAGGAUGCUUCUUGCAAAUGAAAAGCACGCAACAUAGCAAAACCAAUAUUUGCUUUUUCUGUCAUAGAUUUUAAACUGCUAAUUUUUCGAAGUAGUUAAAUCGAUAUAGAAGGGAGAAAAAAGGAAUGGAUGAAAAACGAACAGUCAAUAACAAGAAUUUGCAGCAGAAUAAAUUUUAUGAUGUGGUUAGAAAAAAAAAUAUAAUCAUGUAACCAUAAUCUAAAACAAUGUCAAAAUGAUUAAAGUUUUUCAUUUUUUAUUUUUUAUUUUUAUUUUUAUUUUUGAUAAUUCAAUUGAUAACUCUGAAGAUAUACAUACAAAGGGCAGAUUUAGGACGAUCAGAGGUGACCAUAAAAUAAUAUGCACUGAUAGCUAUACAAUCUAUAGCACUCCCCAUAUCAUGCUAGAUAUAAUUACAAAAUCCAUAUCCAAAUAUAAUUAAUUGACUUAUCUUAACAUAUUCAAACAUUUUUAAGGCAUUCGGUGGAUUGAUACAUGUAAGUUGAAAGACUUCCAUAGCACGCGACAUUGGUACCUAAUAAAUAGGCACUCAAGUCAAAAUGUGCUCUCUAGUGGGUUUUAUCACAACUCAUUAAUACUGUUUAGGUGUCUUUAUUUUUGCUUAAAAUAAAACUCAUAUCUAAAUCUGCACAAUAAUUUUAAAUCCUACUGAGUUCACUCCGUGCAACAAAGAUUUUGAAUCUUAACAAUAUCUAUUUUUUAUUUGUCUCAUCAGCCGUUUAGUUAGAGUCUCUACCAGAUUACAUUGGUUAGAAAAUUUUCUACAUGGUGCCUACUUUGCUAAUGCGAAUUUAUUUAUUUAUUAUUUAGGCAUUAGAUAUGCUUGCGUGAAAAAAUUUAUGGCAUUAGCAAACCAUUUAACGUCUGCGAAUUCCUCACCGAUGUAAUCAAUGCGAGACUCUUUCUAGUUCAUGUGGUGAAAAAAUAAAAGACGUUGUGAAGAAGUCCAUCCAUAUCUAGGAGCCCGAUAAUAUUGUAGUCACACCUUUGGCCUUUCUUUCAAUUAUUGUCAACUUUCCUAUAAUAAAUCAGACAGCAAUUUUGUCUAAAGAAAGAAUGGAAACUAUGCACAUAUAAAUCUUUACAGUCAUAUUUAUCACCAAAAGUUUCAAUCCAUUUUAUUCUUUAAAUUGUUUGGAAGUUAUCUGUGUUUGUGAACACGACAGAUAUAAAGUUAGCAUUAAUUUGGUUGCUUGUCAGCGGCCAGCUUCAGCAAUAUUAUUUUAAUAAGUCUUUUAAAAGGGUUAAUGUCCAAAUCAUACAAUUAGAAAAUCAAUUAAAAUGAUUUCCAGAAAAUCUCGUUGUCUUAAUUUUUAAUACAUUUUAUUGUUUAAAUGGAUUACUAUUCAACAAAGAACAUAAAUGUCACAUUUUCACGUGUUAGCAUUUCAAAAGCUUGUUGAAAAAUGAAAUUUAUUAAUUUUUAAUAUCUUUGGAUAUUUAACUUGAGAACACUAACGUGCGAAGGAAUCUAUUUUACAAAUUUCCAUAUAUAUGUAUUAUUAAAUGACUUCAUCAUAUAAUUUAAAAUUUGAAGUCUUUCUUAACUAUAUUAAUUAAUCAUUAAUUAUUUUACAUAUUACAAUCGGAAAGGAUGUGGACGUUGACUUCACACAAAUUGUAUUUGGGAGUCAACUAGUCAUGUGCUAUUAAUUAAUUAUAAUCUAAACAAUUAAUUAUAGCCUGUUUGGUAAGUGAGGUUCAGGAGGGAAAAAAACGUAAAAAAGAAAGUAGCCAAUGACUUGAAUACAUCUAUAAAUUAACCCAACUAGCUAAAAGCAAAUUAAUCCGGAGUUGCUUGAAAAAAUGAGUCUCAAAUUUUGAAUCUUUCUCAUGUUCCAUCGACUAAUUUAAAGUUUUCAGAUAUAUAUUUGUUUAAUGGGUUUGAUUACAAGAUUUUUAAGUAUUCAAGGGGAUAAGUGUAGUUUAUACACUUAUUAGGACCUAAAAAUAUAGACAUUUAAUAGUGCUUUUGAUUAAUUACAACCUAAUUUAUUGUAUAUUUCUUUUAUUAGGUGAAAUUCGAUGAUCGAAAGUGAAAUUAAAAUACAGAAGUGAAAAAAAUGCAAAAAAUGGUGAAAUUCAAAGUUUGAGAACUCGGUUGCAAUUUUUCAAUAGUUUAUUUGAACCACAAAACGAUAAUUGAAGUUUGCUAGAAGUCAAUUAGAUACAAUUAAGAGUAAAAAAUGAGUGAAAAUAUAAUCAAAGUAUUUUCACAAAUCAAAUUUUGACCGCACAACUGAUGUUUUAGAUCUUUAGUUGGAGACUAAGACCCAUUUUUAGAAUAGUAAACGAUCGAAUUGGGAACAUAAAAUCAAAGUUUUCCUUUAUCUUAAAUUGUAGCCCAAAUACAAGAUAAAUUCCCAAAAGCUAUAUUUUGAAUAGCAUUUAGUGUUGAUGAAAUGUUAUUUGUAGUAAAGUUGUAGUCAUUUGAGUGGUCUCUCCAAUGCAUUUUGAAUCAAACCCUCCGAUCUUGAUUUUAUUGUCACUUCACUAUUGUAAUCGGCUGCAACCACCACUUGGUUCAAGAUUCACCAAUCUUUACUCACACGCACAAGUGUUUUCAAUUAUGGUUGAAGAACACGGGUUAUACUUUGAGAAACUUCACUAGAACAUUAGGCAAUCAGGACUCAUUGGAAUGGUCACAAGACUUUAAAACUUGAUGCUGCAGGUUUAUUGAAAAUAGAGAUUAUUCUUAAAGCAGUAGUUUGUACCUUUAUAAUUUUCUCUACUUAUGUAGAGACUUCUCCAAGGCACGAACAUAUCUUACCUAUAAUAUGGGAUUUAUAUACGGUAACAAUCAAGUAGCUUAUGGUUGAUAUGGUCAAUAAUUAAACUAAGGAAAGUUUUUAUUAGUUAAAAUAAUAUUUCUUUCUUUUAAUCAUUUGACCAAUCAAACCUGUCCAAGAUAGUAAGUAUAUAUUUCAAUAUAUGUUGUUGUAUGGAAAAUUAAAGAUUGCAUCUCAUGAAAACCUUAAAAUACAUAGCUAAGAAAUCUGUUUACCUGUAGUACCCUGCCAGUCGUGACUUAUUGGCAUUGACUGGCUAACCUAUUUGAACUUCAUAUUUUGGAUGAAAUAUAAAAUAAUAAAUAUUAAGUAGAUAUAAAGUAAUUUGGAUUUUUAAUGCUACUUUUGUGCUUGUGUGUAGAGUGCUUUCAAAGUAGAUUGCAUGAACUGCACCCUUUCAGAUAUUUCCUUUAAGCAACAUACCACUUCCUUACUUAAACAACUGACUCUGACUUUAUGAAAAAGCCAAUAUAUCAUAUAGUAUGUAGUUUGAGAAAGAACUAAGCAGAUAUGCAAUAUUAAUAUGAAGUGCAGCAUUAAUAUGAAACAAUACACCUGCAAACUGAAAAAGGAAUGAACUAAUCUAACAAGCUACCUCAAAUAUCAGACAAAAAAUUCAAGGAGUAUCUUUUUCUUUUCUCUCACCCCUUCAUGUGUACAUUAGAUUUUAAGACAUUGAGGAUAUUGUCUAAUUUAAGUUUUUGGGAUAGUGAAAAAAAAUGUAAAACAUUGAGUUUUUAGUUUUAUUUUUUUGUGUGAUUGAGUAUUUAUUGCUUUAUUUUAUAUGAGAAACUAGGAAAAAUGCAAAAAAUUUUAAAAAUUUUCCAAAAAAAUUCUAUUUUUUUAGUUUGCGUGUUUGUGUAGGUUAGAUGGCUUUGUUGACAGUGAUGAAUAUUAUUGGAAUUAUGUAUUUAUUUAUGAACUUUGGAUAGGUUACAUGCUUAAAUUAAUUUAUUCUUAUCCAUAUAAAACUUGGUACUCUUUGCACACAUGAAUUGAUUUUAGCAUUAUAAAGUAACGAGUUGAAUAGUAUCAUUGAUAGGUUGAAACAGGCAGAUUACGAUAUUCAAUCCCACAACCUAUUAUUUAUUACAUCCUCGAACCUUGUAUAGUAUAAUUUGGGGGUGCUUGAGCCGGUGAAAGAGAUGAUCUAAAAUGUGUUGGUUCCAUGCAUGUUGAAAAAAAUAUGUGUGACUUCAUCUUCAACUAUCAAGUAUAAACUAGGCAAUGACCAUAUUAUAAGGAUUUAAGGCCCACCUAUGUAUGCCUUAAAAAAAUUGAAAAAGGGCAUUGCAUUUGUUGGUUUUUUACCUCACGUCUUCACCCUUUUUAAUUCGAGUUAGGAAGUAGUUAGGGUAUCUUGAAAUUUGGUACCCUUUGAUAUUUAAAAAUUAUAUCAACUAAAAGCUCGUUACAUGGUUAAAGAAGAGAGAAAAAAAAAAGGUGAGGUUGAUCCUAAAAUGGAAAAAAAAAAUCAAAAUAAGUAAGUAAUUAUGCAAUUGUGCAAGUAGGAUCAAUUGUGGGAGCUUAGAUAACUAUUAGGUUUGAAUUGCUUAGUAUAAACUUGACUGCCAAUGCACUCAAAUUUUUGAUGAAUCAUUACAUGCAUAGAAUCUUGAUGUUACUGCUUAAACUCAAUCAAAUUAGAGCGGUGCAAGGAAUUAGUAAUUGAAAGUCAACCUUAGAAUAUACUUUGGGAAGAGAAUUAAAGAAAAUAAGUUUGGGGUGUAUAAAUUUUACGAGUGAAGAAAUGACAAAUUUGACUACAGAGAGUCGGGAAUCGAAACAACUUGCGAAUUUAUGAUGUUUAACUUAAUUCUUCACACACACAUCAGCUUCGCUUGGAGAGGUUGAUAUUGACUUUGGUAUUGUGACCUUCAAGCCUUUAAAUAUUGAUAUUUUGAAGUUCUUUUGAUUAGUAAUGUUUUAAUUCAUUAUAUAUUUGUUUAUUAGGUGAAACGAAAGAAUGGAAAAGGCGUUGAAAGAAAAAAGCGGGAAUUUACCAAAAAAGACAAAUAGUAAGUACAUAUAUUGCAAUAUUUCCAUAGUUGAUUUGGACCGAAUGAAGAUUGGAAAUGUUACAGAUUCAAUUGAAUGCAAAUUGAAGCUGAAUGACAAAAAUAGGUAGAAAGGAAAGUGAAGGGUCAAAAAAUUGAAGAGAGGAUGAAACGAAGGACCAAAACGCAGAUUUAGAUGCCUGACAUGAAGUUUCAAAAACAGUAGCUCAAAACAUUGCCUGGAUGAGCACUCGGGUUUUGCCUGGGCUUUCUAUCUAGGACUCAUGGCCAGCUUCCUUUUUCGUCCAAAAUUCUACAUGGAAAGCAAUUCAUUGCACAAUUUUUGAACUAAUUUCACCUCUAUAAAUACCAAACACAGUCAGCCAAUAAAAAUAACCUCAAUAUAAUCAGUUAUUAUCAUUAGAGGGAGGCGAAAUACAGUCUUCUGAUAGAAUUGAAGAGGACUUGGAAGAAUUCAAUCAAAUGAAAACUCAAUCUUGGUUUUUCGAAAAAUAAGAGAAGGCGCAAUUGAAGAUUCAUGAAGAAGCCAAUGAAGAUUCAAAUUUCAAUAUUCAUCUUCAUCUUUAUCUUCUCAAUUUAUCAAAAUAUGGAUUAUGUUUUUCCACUUAAACAUGUUUUCCUGUAAUGUUUCAAUGCCAUGCUAAGUUUUUAAUUACUAAGAUGUAGAUGAACCCUUAUUAUGAAGUUUUUAAUAUAAAUAAAAUAUUUUAACAUCCAAUAUAUGUUAUUCCUUGGAUGCAUGUUAUUGUGUUUAAUGCUUAUCAAUUAAUUAGCUACUAAUUGGAAUGAUUUGUGAAUUUUAUUGAUUUCGAGAGAAAUGAUAAAGUAGAUAGCACCUAUAACAACCAUUGUAAAAUUUAAUAGGGAAUAGAGAUAUACGCUAUGCUUUGCAUGAAUUCUAUAGAUUUUAUAAAGUUUCUAAUGAAUGCUAUAUAUAUAUAUAUAUAUAUAUAUAUAUAUAUAUAUAUAAUUAACAUCUAGAGAUGCUUUUAAUUAACUUAGAAACAUUGAUUAACAAGAAUGUGCAUAUAUUAUCAUGAUAUUGAAAAAAAAUUAUAAAUUUGCUCAAUGCAAUAGUUGAUUAAUUAGUUUUACAUAAAUUCUUCAACAAAAAUUUGCUAUUUGAUUAAGGAUGAAAUUAAUUCAUACUUGAUAAAGUACAUAGUCCUCGCAGGGAACGAUAUCUUACUUAUCAUUUAUUACUUGUUUGAGUCCGGUACACUUGUAGGAAAUCAAACGAUCAACUUACAAUCAGUAUGAUCCAUCUAAACUUGAGAAGGUGAAAAUUAGAAUAAACAUUUAACCUUGGAUUGCACAUUGGAAAAAGAGUAGAAAGAAUAAAUUUGGUGUGUAUGAAUCUCACAAUUAAAGAAAUGACAAAUUUAAUCAUUGAAGAUCGGAAAUUGAAACAACUUAUGAUUUUGUAAUAUUAUACUUGGAUUUUUCACACACUCACAUCAGUUUUGCUUUGAAGAAGUCGAUGUUGAUUCGGUAUUGUAACUUUGAAGCUAUUUAUAGAUAUAAUAGAAUGAUUCGAACUUCGACACGAAAUGACAGGUUAUCUAACCAAAAUGUUGUUGCGUGAUUGUUUAUUUUUAAGUUAAGUUAUGGUUUUAUUCGAGGACAAACAAAUGUUUAAAUUUGGACUGCUUGAUAAGUGUAGAUUAUAACCUUAUUUAGAUCUAAAAAUAUAGAUAUUUAAUAGUUCUUCUAAUUAAUUAUAGUAUAAUUUAUUGUAUAUUUUAUUUAUUAGAUGAAACUUUAUGAUUGAAAGUGGAUUUGAAAUAAAGAAGCAAAGAAAAGACGAAAAAUGGUGGAAUCUAAAGUUUGAGGACUCAAUUGUAACUUUUCAAUAGUUGAUUGAAGCCACAAAUGAUAACUAAAGAUUUCUAGGAUUCAAUUUGAUGAAAUUAGAAGUAAAAAAGGAGUGAAAUAUGGUCAAAGUAUUUUCACAAAUAAAAUUUCAACCACAAAUGUUAUGUUCUAAAUUUUAGCCACAUAUUGAGACCCAUUUUUGGCAUAGUAAACAUUCGAAUGAGAAAAAUGCUAUUUCGAGUAAUUGUAGCCUCUUGAGUUAACUUUCUAAAGCAUUUCAAAUUGCCUAUAUCAAAUAUCAGAAAAGAACUGUAUGACAAAAAUACCGACAGCUACAUGGCAACAAAAAUAUGAGCUCUCAAUGGCAAAUUUCUUAACUCAAUUGGAACACUUCUUGGAUUCAAUUUUGGAUGAGUUCUAAUUACUUGAUUACUAAUUAGAUUAAUUGUGAAUUUUACAGAUUUCAAAAGAAAAAAAAAAGGAUAGAAAACAUUUUAUAACUGUCAUUUUAAAGGUCGAUAGAAGCUAGAGACACAUUGCUAUGCUUUACAUAAUUUCUAAAGAUGUUCUAGCAUUUUUAAAACAUGCUUUCAUAUUCACGUUUUUUCUUAGAGUUAUAUAAAGAUCACAUGAGGGGAUGUAUUUAAUUGACAUUGAGAAAUGUUUUUAAAUAUCUUAUAAACAUUGAUCAACAAGAAUAUGCGUAUAUAGUCAUGUUAUUUAAUUGUAUUGAAACUAAUUAAUAAGGGGGAUUCGAGUUCUUAAUAACAUUUCAUCUAGAUUUACAAAAUCUUCAUAAUUUGCUCACUAGAAUGCUUAGUUUAAUUAGAUUAAUUAGUAUAAAUUCUUCAAAUACAAUUGGCUAUUCGGUUGGAGUUAGAAUCGAUUGAUCCUUCAUUAGUUACAUAGUCUUUGUGGGAGCGAUGUCCUACUUAUCACUUUAUUAGUUGUUCGUUGUACCGUACUCUUGCAGGAAACUAGACAAUCAUAAGGCUCAAUAAUACAAUUGACAAUAUUUUUACCAUUUUUACUUCAUAAACAUAGUCCAAUAGUGUACAUUUAAAUUGGGCAAAAUUUUUGUUGUUAGAUUUGAUGGUUGUGUAUACAUAUAUAAAACAUUGUUAUCUAGUUCUAGUAGUCUUAAGUAGGAUUGGACAUGGUUUGAUCCGGUUCGAUUUGAUUUUAAAGAGAACUGAAUCAGAUCUAAAAUUUUCGGGUAUUUAAAAAGUGGAACCGUAAGAUCCAAAUUUAAUUAUGAAACCAUUCGGGUUGAAUCCCAUUUGGUUCGGUUCGGUUUGGUUCGAUUACAUUCGGUGCACGGGUUUUGUACUAUAAUUAAAUUUGUUAAUAUUUACAACAUUACAUUGAUUCAAUUAAUGGCAUGUUCAAUUUAUCAAUUUAGCUCUUACUAAAUAACGUAGUCCAAUCUUAUAUAUAUCUUGUGCUUCUCUUUUUGCUAAGUUUUGUAUAAGAUUUGAUUGUUAAAAUUACGGAAAGAUGAAGAUAACGAGCUCACAAUUAAUUAAAAGAUUAACAGUCGAGCAUCAAUUCAAUUUCUCGAUACUAUGUUAGAAUAUCGAAUUUGAGUAAAACUUAGGUCAAUUUGAUUAAGUUGAUUAGAAAUAGGAAAACCAUAUCUUUGGGUUUGAGCAAAAUUAAUUAGUUAGUAAAUUUAUUUAAAAAAUAAAAUAAUUUAACUUAUUUAAAAUAAAUUAAUUAAAAAUAUUAGGAAGAUUCGGUUCUUAUUCAGUUCUUCGGCUCUUGAUCGAGAACAAAAAAUGGAGCCAAACUCGUCGGUUCUCAAUUUAAAUACCUGGUCUGGUAUUUAACUUAAGAAGAACCGCUCGAUUUGAUUCAGUUGAGAUCGGGUCCAGUUCGGUUCUGAAGUUUUGUCCGAUUUUAUUCUUAAGUAAAAGUCUAUGUGGCAGUGAGAUUUAUAGCCUAAAUUGGAUCAAAAAUAUAUAUAUAUUUUAUGUGAGUGUGUGAGGGGAAAGAAUGCAAUUGGACAAAUAUCAGAUAGAUAGGAUUUAUCGCUUUUUGUGUGUAUAUCCAUUAUUUGAUAAAUAAGUUCAUGAUGUGUUCCAAAAAUUAAAAUAAAUUUGUAAUUUAUGUGAAAUAUCACUAUUGAUUUAUUUAUACUAAGCAAUUGAGAUUAUUACAUAAUUUUCAAAAUAUUGAUUAGUAGAUUUGCUGAGUAGUACUAAGCACCCGUCUAAGUGCAAUGGAAUCCAUGCCUGCAACUAGUCAAAUGAUGCACACUUUUUUAUUCGAAGUAUUUAUAGGUAAUAAAUCCCAAUACCACAUAUAUGGGUAUUUAACGCCACUUAAACUAAAUGAAACCCCCCUCCAGACCCAUACCUUUUCCUUGUUUGGCAUAAAUUAAAAUUCAGAUUUUAAUUUGAGUCAAAAUCAAUAAUCAAUUUUUACCACAUAUUUUAUGGGACCCACACUUUUUCAACCAUACAUUUUCAUCAACUUUUAUAAAAAUCUAUUAAAAAUAUGAUUUUAAUCCCCUCCUAACAGGGCAUAAUAAACACACUCACACUCGACCAUCAACCUUAACAACUAAAUUUUUAUCAAGUUUCUCUCUCUCUCUCUCUCUCUCUCUCUCUCUCUUAUAUAUGUGUGCGCGCACACACACGCAUCCAUGCCUGCAAUUGGUCAAAUGAUGCACACUUUUUUAUUCAAAGUAUUUAUAGGUAAUAAAUCCCAAUACCACAUAUAUGGGUAUUUAACGCCACUUAAACUAAAUGAAACACCUCCUCCACACACACACAUUUUCCCUAUUUGGUAUAAAUUAAAAUUUAGAUUUUAAUUUAAGUCAAAGUCAAUAACCAAUUUUUAACACACAUUUUUUAGGAUCUACAAUUUUUCAACCACACAUUUUAGCAACUUCUAUAAAAAUCUAUUAAAAUCUAAUUUUAAUCCCCUCCAAACGAAGCAUAAUAAACACACUCACCCUCGACCAUCAACCUUAACAACUAGAUUUUUAUCAAAUUGCUCUCUCUCUCUCUACACACACGCACACACACACACACAUACAUACCCCUAUUUGAUGGUCAUUAGUGUUGUAAAUAUGAUAUUUUGAAUAGUGAUUUUUUUGAAAAUAUAUGGUUAAAGAGUGGAAAAAAGAUUUGGAUUUAUAAUACAAAAUAUUUUAUUGUGUAAAUAUAUGGUUGUAAAUGAGUAUGAAAAAAUAAAUUAUUUUGUUCUAAAGUGAAUCAAAUACGUGCAUAGAGAGAUUGUUACUAAAUAAUUCUCCAUCAGUCCGUAAAGAUGGACUUAACUUCCUUAGUCAUGUGCUCCAAAUUAUAGUCAUGUUUUUUUUUGUUAAGAUUAUAGUUGAUUUCUUAUUUUCCUAAUAUACCCCAAUUUAGUGUGUCAUAUUUAUCACAAACAUUAUUAUUUAAUUGUAGUUGGAAUAAUAAAUAAAACACCAAAAAAAUGCACAUUUCCAACAACUUGUUGAAAUUAGCAAUUUAUGUUUUUGGAGGUUUGGUAAUUUGUUCAAUUUCAUGUUAGCCAACCUUGCAUCGUUAAGUACAUUGAACCUUCCACUAAAGAAUAAUUUGUUCCAAAACUAAUUCAAUACUUCAUGGCCAUCUAGUUUCAAUAGAGUAACGAGUCAUCUAAUAUUAAUGUAGGUUUAUAUUAAGAAAAAGAUUAGUAAAUUUAUUGUUCCAACUAUAUGAACUAAUUUUUUUUUAUUUUUUAUUUUAUUUUUUGAUCUGUGUAUGAAAAUGGAAGCAAGCAUCUUUAAAGGGCUCACAGAGUUUAGAUGAGCCAUUUCAUCCAUCCAGGUUGUCAAAAAACUGUUAUUGAUGUACACAUAAGCAAGUGUUUAAAGCAUUAUUCCUAAGCCAAUGAAUGCAAAAACACGUAAACUAAUGAAUAAAAUGUAAUACUAUAAUAGAAUCAAUUACAAGUUAUCUCAUAGGAGGUUGUUAUUUGUCAUUUUUCCUAGAUGACCCAAUGUCCCUAAAGCCUUAAGGGAAGUUUAUAAACGCUCUUGCUUAAAAGCAUAAAAUGCAUGCAAAUUAAAAUAUCUCUCUAUCAAAUAGCAAUUUUUCCUCUUGUUCCAGUUUGAUCUUCAAAACUAGUGAUUUUUGGAGGUAAAAAUCCUAAUUAGGUGAGGAUUUUAUUGUUUCGAUUUGUACCGUCAACAAUUAUUUUAGCUACUCUUCUAGAUUCAGAUGCCGGUGUGGCACUUAUGUUUACUCCCUACACGGGAGAAUGAAAUAGCUCAUAAACUAUUUCCAUUAACUACUAUUUUGGGUGCCAAAAUGAACUUUUUAAUAGGUUUGUUUGCCGGUUUCUAUUUCGUCUGUCGUUUUGGAGAUUUGGCUCCUGUUUGGGCUCCAUUUUAAUUUAAUACAUUUUUUCUCUCUUCCAAAAUAAAAAAUAAAAAAUAAAAAAAGAAGAAAUUUUUCUCCGAGUUUCAAUUUUUAGGAUUAUACGUCUACCACAUAUAGGAGAAUUUAUGGCAACAGAGAAUUAAUUUAAGAAGAAAUUGUGGACGAAGCCACCAUGGAAUUUCUGCUAGAAAAUGUAAAGCAACUAAUUAUUUUCAAUGCACAUUUGAUUCUCGAUGUAGUUAGUACCAUCAAGUCAUUCUGACUGAUUAGUGAGGUACUCUUGCAAAUGAAGAGCAUGCAACACAGUAAAAUCAAUAUUUUCCUUUUCUGUCAUAGAAUUUAAACUGCCUUUUUUUUUCCUUUGAAUUAGUCAACGAGAUAUAGAAGGAAACAUUCUCAAUGAACGAAAAACAAACAGUCAAGAAGAAGAUUUGCAGCGGAACAAAUUUUAUGAUCUUUAUUCAUUUUAUUGUUUAAAUGGGUUACUAUUUGAUAAAAAGAAUGUCAGAUUUUCAUAUAUUGGCAUUGCAAAAACUUUGGAAAAAUGAAAUUAUUUUAGUAAAUAUAUUUGGAUAUUUAAUAUGGGAACACUAACGUGAGAAGGAAUCUAUUUUACGAAUUCCCAUAAACUAUCUUCACUAACUACUAUUUUGGGUGACAAAAUUAUUUUGAGAUUAAUUUUGCAGUAAAAAAAAUGGCUACAGUCAUUUGAGUAUGUGAAAUUUGAUUUUUGACAAAAUGUAUUUGGAAGUCUAACGAGCCUGCGUGUGAAUUGAGCCUGCAACUUGCUACUUUAAGGUAUAAGUGUUUCGUGGAUUUAACAUAAUAACAUGUGGUACGUGGUAAAGAAUAGAAGUUUUUGAAAUGUUGUGAGAUCCAUGAGAAAUGUGGUUAAUAUUGAUUGUUUGACUUUGAUUUAGAUUAAAAUCAGAUUUUAAUCAAAACUAAACAUGGGCUCAAUUUUUAGGAUUAUGCAUCUACCAUAUAGGUGAAUUUAUGGUAUCGAAGAAUUCAUUUAAGAAGAAAUGGCGGACGAAGUUUCCGUGGGACGGAGGAAGUAAUCUUUUUUAUCCACGUCUAAAAUGGAAGCAAAUAUCUUUACGGAACAUAGAGAGUACAAGUUAAUAUUUUUUUCUUAUUCCUUUAUAUUGUGUUCCCCCUUUUUGAUUUAUAUGGGCACAUCUCCUUUUAAGUUAAAUAAAUAAAUAAAUAAAUUUGUGCAGUUACAAGUAAUUUGGAUUGAAACAUUGGCUGUGAACAAACUUAAUUACAGGAAUAGAUGGUAAUUCUGAACGACAAGAAAUCUGUUGAGACCACGAGCUGAAAAAAUUCAAGGGUUUCCCACAAUAUUAUACACCUUUAUGGUGCUAGGAAAUACACAUCAUUCAUAUGGCAAGAGAAUGGAAUUAUUUGGACGAAUAAUGCUAUGUAAUCUCAUUAGGAUUAUAACUCCAAUCUAGACGAAGAUAAAUGAUGGGCUGUACGAGAUGUAAAAUUAAAUGGUUAUUUAAUGUCACAUUAACACUAUCUAAAUUAGGAUUAUAAUUCCAAUGAAAUUAGAUAUCAUUACUCUAUUUGGACUGAUUCUAAAUUAAAUGUUUAGUCUCCCCACAUUGGAGGGUCCACAUCGGAGGGACCCACUAAAAGAAGAAAUUAAGGACACUGUAGGAACUCAAUUGGACCAAAGAUGCAAAAGUUUGCAUAGAUUAUUGUGCAUAGAAAACGAUGCCCCCUUCAGCCUUUCUAUCAAUUUUGCUCCUUUCCCUGCAAUAAGGGGCGUUUGGGAGGAAUUUUUCACCUCUAAAAAAUUGAUUUUUAAUCAUUAUUUUAUUAUUUCGAUCGCAAAAUUUGAUUUCUUCUUUCACAGAUGGCCCCCACUUUUCUCCUAACGAUUAAAAAAUUAAAUCUCAAAAUCGCUCCCAAACAGGGCCUAAAUCUAUUAGUAGUUUAUUGGAAACAAAGAAUAGAAACUAUGCUCCAUAUAAAUCUCGAGCGUUAAACGUAUUUAUAAGGAAAAAUUGCAGCCAAGGUACCAAACCUUUUGUUUAUUAACAGACUUUGUCCAAACUCUUCAUUUGUGCCAUCGGAGGUACAAAACCUUUAAAAUCUUCGUAGAUGCAAUCCAAAAUGACAAUUUUCGUUUGUUUGAUCAUCAAAACCGUUAGUUGACUCCAGUAAUUAAAAAUUUAACAAUUUUUCCUAAGUAAGUGAAGGGCAAUUUUGACAUUUAAUAAGUCUCAAGUUCAUCUUCUUCAACAACCCCGCUACCUCUAACCUCCCCAAAUCAGAUCAGAAGAGUCAUCCCUAUCCCCAACCUCCCAAAAUCAUAUCAAAAGAUUUACCAUCGGCUACCGUCAACCACGAUGCGAUUCCUCCGACGAUGAGUGUUGUAUAUGUGUGUAAAGAUGCAAUUCCCCCCGCAUGCGAUUUCUCAGUUUCUUCAUUUUCCACCGUUUUCAACAAAAAUCACAUCUUCAUCACUAAGAUGUGUGGUGAGGGUUUCACUUGGAGCAUAUUGUAAAAGGACGUUAAUGUGUUAUCGAUAUUAAUUUGUAAGGAUAAUUUACAGUUUGCGUUUGAAUUUUUGAAGAGGGGCUGGAGAUUCAAAUUGAGUUGGGUGUUAGGAUUUUAGUGGGUGUAUACAUAUUGAUAAAAGCUUACCUCUUUGAGAAGUUCUUGAAGCCAUUUCAAAUGUACUGUGCGGUGGUCGGCAAUAUUUUAGUUGGUGUAUAGGGUAUAUUAUGGAUGGGAGACGGUCGAUAUUCCCUAUUUCUUUAACUUGGUUUAAUUUGCAGGUUAUCAAUUAUUUCUUCGCUAUUGUGCCGUCGGCCUUGCUGGUGUUGGAUAGCAGUGGUGGUUGUUUGAUUUUGGGAGGUGGGAAACGAUGUGGUGUGGGGGUGAAGAAGACAACCCUUUUAUUUUAUUUUUUUUCCUUUUCUAUUUCAUUUUUUAUUAUUUAAGGUUUUAGAAUUGUGAAGUUACUAUUUUGCCCUUAUAUUUGAUUAAAUUCUACUAUUUUGGUCAACUAACUGUUUUGGCGGUCAAACAGACAGAAACCGUCAUUUUGGACUAGCCCUACGAAUUUUUUAAAGGUUUGACACCUCUAAUAACACAAAUGAAAAGUUUGGAUAAAGGCUGCUAAUAAGCAAAAUGUUUGGUAUCUCAACUACAAUUUUCCCUAUUUAUUACCAAAAGUUUCGAGGCAUUUUGUUUUUUAAGUUGUUUCAAAGUUAUCAGUAUUCGCAAAUACAAUAAAGAUAAAGCUAAUAUAUUAAUUUGAUUGCUUGCUAUCGACUAGUUUAAAAAAUAUUGACAUUGAUAGUCUUUUGAAGGUCCCAUAUCAUGCAAUUAGAAAAUCAAUUAAGAUGAAUUCCACUCGUAAUCGAAAAUCUUGUUUUGUCGAAAGGUCUCAAUCUUUAUCCAUUUUAUUGUUUAAAUGGUAUGUCACAUUUUCACUUAUUGUAAGGAAUUACAAAAGAAGUUAUUUCAACAAAGAUGUGAGUUGAGUAGGAUUGGUGGAAGAAAUAUGAACCGAAGACGGAACCUUGAUAUACCCUAGAACAAUACAUUUUUGUUACCACGAGACAUAUUGGUAGCCGCUGAACAUUUGAUUGAAUUGAAAUUUAGAAUAGGUACACUUGAAUGAAUCAUUUGAAAAAUAAACGUCUUCAUUCUAUAGCGGAUCUUGCAUUUCAAAACUUUAGUUGAAAAAUGAAAUUUAUUAAUUAAAUGUAUUUUGAUAUUUAAUAUGGGAACACUAACUUGAGAAGGAAUCUAUUUUACAAAUUCCCAUAAACUAUUUUCACUACCUACUAUUUUGGGUGCCAAAUUGCACUUUUAAUUGGAUUGUUUGCCUGUUUUUACUUUUUCCAUAGUUCAGGAGAUUUAGCCCCCUUUUUGGUGGUCAUUAUUUAUUUAUUUGGGAGAAAACAUUGUUUUAAAUAGUGAAUUUUUCUUUUCUAUUUUCUGGGAGAAUGUAUGGUUAGAAAGGUAGAAAAAAAGGUUUUGGGUUUUUAAGUGUAUAAUAUUUUAUCGAGUGAAUGUAAUUAAAAAUGAGUAUAUAUAAAAAGGAGUUGUGUACCAAUAUGAGACAAAAGGAGACUUACCCCAUUUGGAAGUGAUUUUGAGAAUUGAUUUUGUUACCAUUAGGUGAAAAGUGGAGGCCACAUGUGAGAGAAGAAGUUAAACUCUACGAAUGAAAUAGUGAAAUAAUUAUCAAAAAAUCAAUUUUUUUAGGUGAAAAUUCACUCCCAAACACCCCCUUAAUUCAAUGAGAAGUUAAUUUUGCUUUAGAAAAAAAAAUGGUUAUUUGAGUAUGAGAAUUGUGUGACUUUUCACAAAUUGUAUUUGGAACUCAACGAGUUUCCGUGUGAAUUGAGCCUGCAACUUGCUACUUUAAGAUAUAAGGGUGUGUUUGAUAGCACACUAUUUUCCAUGGAAAAUGGAAAAUCAAUACCAUUUUUCAAUUUUUGUAGUGUUUGAUAGGUAAAAUUUUUCAUGAAAAACGAAUUCCACCUUUGUUGGCCACAUCACCAUUUUCCAUGAAAUCUAAUUCCAAUUCUCACCAAAAUGGUGAGAAUUAGAAUUCUCGGUUAUUGUAGCAUUUUUAAAUUUUAUUUUUUAUUUUUUUAAGCAAUGGAAAUAAAUUCUAAAAAUUAUUGUAAAAAAAAUAUUUCCUUUUAAUUGACAAUUUUCAUGUAAAACAAAGCCAAACGAACACUAAAAGAUAGAUGAUUUUUUAAAAAUUUUUUGUUAGCAAUGGAAAUAAAUUCUAUAUCCAAUACCAGUAAAUUCUAUCGCUUUAAUUGACAAUUUUUAUAUAAAACAAAGUCAAAUGAACAUCAAAAACACUUUUAUUUCAAUAUUUUUCACAUGAAAAAUUAUACUAAUCAAACACAAUAAUUUACAAUUUCCAGAAAAAUAAUUUUUAGGUAACUCAAUUCCCUAAAUUUAUUUUCUUUUACCCAAAUUUCAUAUUUUCAAUCAAACGUACCCUAAGUGUUUUAUGGAUUUAAUAUUUGGUAUGUGGUAAAGAAGAAAGAGAUUAUAGGUUGUCUUGAGUAGGCAUAUAAAUAAGCCUAAAGUUAAGUUCAAAUUCGUCCAAAAUUAAAUAAAAAAAUAAUUUCUCUCAGUUUCAAUUUUCAGGAGCAUACAUCUACUACAUAUAGGCGAAUUUAUGGUAAUGAAGAAUUAAUAUAAGAAGAAAUGGCAGAUGAAACUGCGUGGGACGAUGGGAGUAAUUCUUUUUAAUAAUAUUAAAUAAAAUUUCUUAAUACGUUUGAAAAACAAAAUCAACUUAUAUAAAUAAGAUAGAGAGAAUAAUUUUUUUGGAAAAUCCCAAACGACCCACGUCGUUGACACUUCGGGUGAUCGCACCCUCACAUGGCCGGCGUGGGUCCCCAAUGAAUAAAAUAAUCCUGACCUCCCAUAUGUUUGUAUUAUAUCAAUCAUGCGGUCAUCUGCGCAAAUUAUGUAGUUUGGUCCAAAUUUUUUUUGUACAUGUUAAGAUGGAAGUAAAUAUCUUUAUGAGACAUGAAGGGUACAAAUUAUGCACCCGUUUGGCCUCCAUUCUCAUUCUCUCUAUCUCUCUCUCUUAUUUUCAACCACACAAUCUUCCAUAAAAUAAUAUUACACGUAAAUAAAAAACUUUUCGUUCUUUUUCUUAUUCUUUUUUAUUUUUUUCAGCUUUCUGACUUACAAGUAAUUUGGAUUAAAACAUUGGGUUUGAACAAACUUAAUUCCAAGAAAAGAUAGUAAUUUUCAUCGACAAGAAACAAAUUUGAAAUUGCCCAAACUAUCUUCAUUAGUUACUGUUUGGGCGACAAAAUGAACCUCUAAUUAGAUUGUUUGGUAGGUGAACCGUGACUUUUCCCAAAACGUGCUUGGAAGUCAACGAGUCUCCGUUUGGUAGGUGGUAAUUAAAAGAAGAAAGGGAUUAUAGAUUGACUUGGGUAGACCUAUAAAUGAGCCCAAAGUUAAGAUCAAAUUCAUCCAAAUUUACAUGAAAAAAAAAAGAAACGGAAAAAAAAUUCUCACGGUUUCAGUUUUUAGGAAUAUACACAUACCAUAUACAGGCGAAGAAUUAAUUUAAGAAGAAAUGGCGGAAGAAGCUGCCGUGGGACUGGGAUUUCUGCUAGAAAACUUGAAGCAGCUACUUCUUUAUAAUGCACAUCUGAUUCUAAAUGUGAAGAGCUACGUCGAAUCUCUGCACAACGAUCUGCAAUUGUUCAACGCCUUUCUAAAAGACAUGGCAAAAAGGGACAACAACCCUGAAGUCCCAAAUACACUGGUGAAGCAAAUCAGAGACGUUGUGUACGAAGCAGAAGGCUGUGUGGACAUGUAUGUUUCUCGGUCAGCUAUGCAAAGGACUCGAAGUGGCCUAAUGAAAGUUGUCCAUAUAUUCGAUGAUCCGACGAAGCGUCGAGAUAUGGCAGAGAAGAUUAAGUCUAUAAGGGCCAUGGUCAACGAUAUAUUGGAUGAUACGCGAGAUACGGCAGUGGAGAAUAAGUCUAUGAGGGCCAAGGUCAAUUAUAUAUAUCAAGACAAGAAAUAUGGGUUUGAAGCCCAGCUAGUUGCUGCUCCUCCCGACAAAAAGGAAGAGGUAAAUUGCCAUUACUCUCUCCGAUUAGUGAUUUUAAUUGAUGAACUUGUUGAUUGUGUUUACAAUUUAUCAGUUCCGAGCAUAUUUGGCUAAGCAUAACAAAAACUUGGUAAUUUGUUCAAUACUGGGCAUCUUGAGUGAAUCUUGAUAUUAGAAAUCAGUGGAACGUUUCCAUAAAAUAAGGAAACGCCAGAUCUGAUGAAUUCAAUAAGAACAAAAUUUAAGUUGACAUACCUCCCCUGUUGUUUCGAGAAUUAAUUCAUUUUAAUACUAAUUUUAAAAAUGUAAUUUAAAGCCAGUUUGACGCACUUCUGCUACUUGUAGAAAAGCUCUUCUAUCCAAACAAAGCAAUUUGAGAAAACAUGUUUUAUUGUAGCUUCUUUAUAUCAGAAGUGGUUUUUAUCUUUUCAAAAGCCUUGCCAUAUAGAGCCUUACUCUCUAAAUAAUUCAUUGUAAUUUAUAUAUAUCAUUAAAAUAUAUGACUGAUAAAGUAUGUUUUAUAGUCCUGCUUGACAUCCUUUCCUUUAAUUUAAUUUAUUUCUCAUACUCAUUUUUAGCCAUACAUUCACACAAUAAUAUAUUCUACAUGUAAACUCAAACUUUUUCCUACAUUUUUAACCAUAUAUUCUCCAAAAAAUACUAUUCAAAACUAUAUUUUUUAGAUUAUAAAGAUGUCAAACCGGGGCUUAAUCAGGGAGUAAUACUAUCUAUUAUUAGUAGAUAUGCAUUACUAGUUAAUUAGGUGGCAAUGGGUCCCUUGCUUUGUUUUUUAAUGUAUUAAAAUACAUUACAUCUCUAAUGGAUCAUGAAUCAGGAUUUCAUCGCCACCAUUACCACCUAACUAAUGAUGCAGCUCUACUAAUGACAAAUAGCAUUAUUCUUCUGCUAUUGAUCCAAAAUCUUUCUUUUACAGCGUAUCUUCAAACAGUUGCACCACUAAAUAUCAUUAUAGGAUUUGAGUGAAGUGUGUACUACUAAACUAAGUUUGUUACAAUCUUGAAUGUCAUUUGGUCUCCAUUUAAUUUCAGUACUUUUAUAACGAUUACUGCUCAUAUAUAUUCAAGGCCCCAAUUUCACCUCAACUGAUUAUCGCUCACUGUUUUAAAGGCUCCCAUUGUGGAAGACAACGUGGUUGGCUUUAAAGAUGAGGUCGAAAAAGUAACCAAACUUCUCAUUGAAGGACCUGAGGAACUACAAGUUAUAUCAAUAGUUGGUAUGGCAGGUCUUGGCAAGACAACGCUGGCUAAAAUGAUAUAUACUGAUCCUAAUGUUAUCUUUGAAUUCUACAAUCGUGCAUGGGUUUUUGUUUCUAAAGAAUAUAGUAAAAAGGAAAUGCUUCAGGAUAUUCUACAACAAUUUACUAAGCCUAGUGAUGUUGACAUGAAUGAAGACGAAUUAGCCGACGAACUUCGUAAAUUUUUGGAGAAAGGAAAAUAUUUAAUUGUCAUGGAUGACGUGUGGACUAACGAGGCUUGGGAUGAUUUUAAAACUGCCUUUCCUGAAAACAAGAACAAGAGUAGAAUUCUACUCACUACUAGUAUUGAGAAAGUGGCUAACCAUGCCAACCCCAACAUUGAUCCCUAUAAGUUGCGUUUUCUAACUACUGAAGAAUGUAUGAUUUUACUCCGAAGGAAGGCACUUGGAUCAAUGGAGUGCCCGGAUGAGUUGAGAGAACACGAACUGCAAAUUGUUCAGAAAUGUGAAGGACUACCACUUGCAAUAGUGGUGAUUGGAGGAAUUCUGCUAGGAAAAGGUAAGGAAAGUGAAUCGUGGAAAAAAGUUGCUGAAAGUGUGGAGGCAUUUAUUAACAUGGACAAUGAGAAAAAGAUGGACCAUUUUAUAGAAAUGAGUUUUAACAAUUUACCUUAUCACUUGAAAACAUGUUUUCUCUACUUUGGGAUAUUUCCUGAAGACUUCCAAAUUCCGGUGUGGAAACUGCUUCGCCUUUGGAUCGCUGAAGGAUUCAUACAGCAAAGUGAAGGAAUGAACAU
rnacentral:lncRNA from 1 species